rnacentral:lncRNA from 1 species
GGAUUGUUCUAAAAUUGUACCCACACAUAAUGAAAGAGGCCAGUUCUGAUAGCAGCGUCAAGAUAAUAGUCAAGAAGAAAACAUUGUGGUGCUGCAGAUGAGUAAACCUUUCUCUAGAUCUGCUGUGCUAUAUCCCGUAAAGUGCCCCGGCGAGAUCAUCCACUCUGUAUCUUCUAUGGAUCAACUUGCAGAUAUCUUCGCCAAACCUCCUCCUCCAACCGUUUCAAUGAUCUUCUUGACAAACUCAAAAUGGUUUCUUCGCAACUGCCUUGACUUUGAGGAGGAACCCGGGAGAAGGGGGGGGGGCGGUGGGUGGGUGUUUAUAUAUAUCAUCAUGAAGGAUCAAUUAGAAUAAAUUAAGGAUACAUUAGAUAGUUGGUUUGAAACCCGCCAAUAUUUUCUAACAAAGAUAUUUUUCUAAAAUGGUCUAUCUAAUGGGUAUAUAUAAGAUAUUUGUUAAGAUGUAUUUCACGUGUUAGAUUUUUAAAAUAUAAGAUUAAUUAGGAAAAGAUUAUUAAUGCAAAUAGAUUAAUUAGGAAAAGUGUAUAAAUGUAGGAAAAAAUAGUAAUUACUAGUGUGUGUAUACAUAGCAGGUUGGUUCGAAUGUAGGUGUGUUAAAAGAUGUCUUGAGCACAGGCAACAAGACCUCCUAAGUCCUAAUGCACUCUUAAGGGUCGUUCGUGCUCCUCAUCUAAGGAUCACUCACUAAAGGGGCAAGAAGAGCAACAACGGCAAGAGUAAUUCAUAUUCUAGUUGAAUAGGCGGGUCGCGCUGUUCGAAGGGAAGAUAUUCUAAGGGAGUUGCUUGGUUGCAUCGGAGAAUGAUAGGUGAACAAAAGCCGCACUUUCCUUAUUGCUUCAAUCGGAAUUCUUACCCAAGGAUUCCUUCUUUCGCUUGCUUCUUGUUGUUUCUUGUGUUUUAUGAGGUUCAAAUAGUCAAGGCAUACACUAGAAAGCCCUCCUAGAGCUUCGUAGCGGCCUUGGAGACUGAAUCUGAGGAAUAGAGCUCCAUACCCUACUAGGUGGAAAACUAGCAGAGUGAGGCCCUCGCCCAGCGGCUAGUGAUAAUCUGCCCAGUAAAGGGAGAGGGGAGCUAAUAGCUUACAGCUAUAAGGGAUUAGUAUGAGACUUAUAGGAUCCUGCAAGAAAGAGAAAUUUCUAAAAUUAUGAUGAAUUUUAAAAAAUUUCUACAAAGGGGUUAUUUUGAGUAUACAAUUCCGUCCAAGGGAUCUUCGCAUUCAACAAAUGCGAGCUCAGGAGUUCGUAUUUGCUGAAUGCGAAGUCCCCUUGAAUUUUCGACCCACAGAAUCCAAAAAAAAAGAAAAAAGAAAACCAGACCUCGCAUUUCAAAAAUGCGAGGUCACUUACUUCGCAUCUGUUAAAUGCUACCUGGACAAUCGUAUCUGUUCAGCAUCUUCUUCCGUCACUGGACAAUAGCAUCAGAAAGCUUAACUUAUUCACUGAAAGCUGGCUGUAGCUUCAACAUUUUCCGGUCUCCAUUUUGCAGCUUUCCGGGGCUUCAACUUUCUGGCGAGAGCUUCCAAAAUGACCAGAGUUGGACUCCCUCCCUCCAACGGCUGCACUCUUGAUGAAUGCUGCUACUUCCGAGGAUUUCAAUGACGGGUUUGGGAUGCAAUUUCCCUUCAAUUUGUAUUUCCCAAUUUUGUUGUUUCUUUGCGUUUUUUGGUUAAAUGAGUCAAAGAGAGGACUGAGGUUGAAGGAGCUGGGUUUUCAUGUUUCACCGACAGACAAAGGACCUCGCAUUUGAGAAAUGCGAGGUCUAUUUUUUAAAAAAAUGCUACCUGGCUUUUUGUUAGCUCGCAUUUGCUGAAUGCGAGCUAAGUUAGUUCGCAUUCAGCAAAUGCGAACCACCUAAUUUUAGAAAUCACCUCAUAAAUAGCCUCUGUUGUAGAAAAACUUUUUUUUUUCAUAAUAAUUUAAGAAUUUCCUCCUACAAGAAAGAAGCCCUUUAGAGGGAGUUUUCUCUUUCUCUAAUGUGGUAUACUUUAAAAAGAGAAAAACAAAAAAAGCUCUAAUGUAAAGACAAGAUUGGACCAUUACCCCCCCCUUAAUCCCCCUCGGGGGGAGACUAAAGACUUCCUUAUGCAGCUGUAAAAGAUAUAAGGAAUAGAUUAUAUGAUUUAUAGGAGUGUUGUGCAUUCAAGGACUCUUAAAUAGACUUUAAGAGGAGAUUAAGACUACCGUUUGGGCCUAUCACCGAUAGUCCCUUCACUCGUCGUUUAAUAAUUGGAGUUCCCUCAAUCAUCGGGGGCUAAGUUACAUAUCUAGCUACAUAAGAACUCAAGCUCAUAACUCAAUACUCCAUAAUUACGUAUAUGAUCAUAGAAACUCCACCGGCUACUUUUAAGUACGGCUACUUUUAAGUAUGGCUCCUGCCGCGAUUAGUCGGGCUUUCCUGAGUGGAUGUAUUUCUAGUAAAUCAAUAAGACUACUUCUAAGGAACCGAUGGAGACAAGAAGGCUAUGAUUGCAAAGAGAACAUGUGAACUAAAAGCCCUAGUGUAAACUCUUUGUGUCCCGGUCAAUCUAGUUAAGUUAGGGACAUGCCGAAACGAAGGGGUUGGCUCCAUACUGGUAGAACAGGUUGGAGCUCUUUUCUUCUGGUCAUAAGGCAAAGAAAAACCCUUUCUAAAAAAAAUUGGUGAAGAUGGAAUAUUUUAUCAUAAGCAAUUUGGAUAGUAAAUUAUUUGAGAUAAUUUUGUGAAAAAAUACUGUAACACUUUUUUGAUGCGAUGUAUGUGAGAUAAAAAGGUGAUUGAAAAAUGUGUUGGUGAUAUAAGCAAGCCAGUGUGUAUAAAUAAGGUGGAAAUAAUGUGUAAUCCAAACACAAACAUUGUUUAGUUAUUAACUUGGUAGUUAGAAAUCAAAUUCUUGGUGAAAUACUAACUUGACCUUGCCUCAACUACUAGCCACUAAGGGUAGUGGGUGUUGAGAAAUAUUUUCUAACUUAUUCACACUAGUAGGCACCCAAGUUCAGUCCCCUCGGAUCCUCCCUUGAGCCCGUUGGAUCACCCCCUCCCCAUAGUAUAGAUUAGAGUAGAUUUAUCAUGUCCAAAAAAAAAUGCUCUUGCCAUGAUUAAAUUUUAUCUAUUACUCAAUAAGUAAUGUUUGGGGAACAUUACCACCAAAAUAGGAAGUAAAGUAGGAGUUGUGGGAUGAGUGAUUAAGUGAAUGUAAAUCACAUUAUUCACGUUAUUUAAAACUAGCCUGACCCUUUCUCACUUGCUAUCUAUGUUUAAGUGUAUAACAAUUAACAAAUAUCGAAUAGAGAGGAAAAAUAAUAAAUGUACUAUGAUAAUAACAAUGGUAAAGGUGCUAUAUUUGUCAUCUACCAAAAGCUACUAUGCAUAUUUCCUGCCCCAACCCAACUACCACAAGUAUUACUGUUAUACUCGAUCCAGCCGAACUACCACCAAUACUUGUGAUGAUAUUAGGAGUUCAUUCUCACAUUCAUAUUAUUCAUGUGAUUGGUAUUAAUACGCAUUUCUUGUGGAAGAUGGUGAGAGUAAACACAUUUGAACAGCACUGGCUUUUGAUUAGUACGAGAUAUAUGUGAGCUUUCCCUCUCAAACAAUUUUAUUCUCCUAAAAGAGAGUGUGAGGGAAGCGGGCUUGGGACAGAAGGCAAAACGUGCGAAGGUUAGUAGGUAAGGAGAAAAGGUGAGGAGAGGGAAACUGAUCCUCAAAGAGAUUUGUUGCGAAAGACUUUGCAGCCUAAUUGUCUCAAUAGAAACAAGUAAGACUUUAUCAUACCUAUGAAGUACUUCAUUUUAAGAUCUUAUUUUGUUUAUAUAAAUUUUGCAUAUAAAGUCCCCUAGUAAUACGUCUGGACUUUGGUGUAUUUUAGGGUUAUGAAACAUAGCUUUAGCAGUACUAAUUUUUGGUAGUUUCAAACUCGAUAAUUACCAUGAAUUGCUCUAGAAAAGACCAUAUUGAGUAGGUGGUAAUUUCCAUAAUUUAACAAAAAAAAAAAAACUAAAGCACUAAAAGAAAAGCAGGCCUACUCACAAAUGAUUCAGAGCCUAAAAUUUGAGUUAUUUUCCUUUACAUAUGACAUAACAUAAGAGUAUGUCUGGGCUGAAGUCUUAAGACCGUACCAUGCACUCGUUUAUAAGCUUUCCCUUAACUUUCCUUUGUACUGUGUGGUUGCACCAUAGUGUAGAAUCCAUUUGGACUAAACUGAAAUUUUGUGAAAAAGGGCAGGGUUAGAAUUUUGGAGCAAUCUUGGACUUGGAUACCAGUAGUUUAUUGGGCAUUGGAAGAUAAAGUUUGACAGAUUUGUGAAUGUAAUGCGCGCUGUUUUGAAAUAAUUGUACUCGGCUCCCAAUGAAGGUUGUUAUUCUUUAGUAUCUUCUUUGUGAGCCCAAUUUCACAAAUUUUAGAGACAAGGGAAGAAGUCAUCAUAAGUGUUCUAAGUUAACUAGUUAAGUGAAAGACUUUUGUAGCUAAAAUUAAGACACAAUUGCUUAUAAUGAGUUAUAAAAUCCGAAUUAUUCAAUAUACUUAUUUGGUGGCUAAAUAAUAAACAGAUUUCAUGAUGCAAGGCCUAUUUUUUUCCCUCAAAUUGGAGCAUCAUCCGUUUCAUUCAGCCCAAAAAACAGAGUCUUAUUCAUCAUCUGCCCAAGAAUGGCUUUACUAGAACGCAAAUUUCAAGAAAUGGAUCAUCUUUGUUAAGGCCAAUAUUUUAAGAAAUGACCCAAUUAUGAUAAACAUAAUUUUAAUCAAGCCAACCCUAUUACUUUAACCAGUUUUGGUUAAAUAAUAGAAACCCAAGGACCCCUCUCUUUAAGAUACCAAGCUUGUAAUAAUUUAUGGAUGGACAUGAGUUUCCAUUUUAAAUGUUCAUCAGUUGAGGCCUUUUUUUCCCCCCUUCUCUCUGUUAUUUUUUCGUAGAAAGAAAUUGUUGCGAACAAGAAUGUCAUAUGCUUCAUAACAUGCUAAUGAGAAAUUAAUUUGUACUCCAAAAAAAAUUAAUCAAAACGAAAGCCCUUCGAUUGUUAUCCCUUUGUUGUGGGUCAUGAGAAGGCAACGUAUACCAAAUACCCUGAAAUCAUUAGACCAAAUCUAAGAAGCGGGGAGGUAAUCGUUGUUUUUCAGAUUUGAUGGGAGGUUAGUGAAAUUGUCACAAGUCUCAAAGUGACUUGCACUGACCGGAAGAGAUUGUGAGGCAGACAAAUUGUUCACCUUUUGAUACCAUCCAAGGAAAAAAAAAAUGAAGAAGCAAAAAUUCUAGUUGUAUGUGAUUUUAGAGGUUAUGUAUGGGAUUGAAAUCUUGUUCCAUGUUUCAGUAGUACACAAAAUUUGGUCUUCGCCCAAGCUUAUCUGAUACUUAAACAUCCAUGUGUAAACUUCUCUGUAGGCUACAAAAUUGUAUAUGAAUUUUGAUGAGCAUGCAAGAGUUUAUUUGCAUAUCGAAGGGCUACAUUCGAGAGAGAGCGCGGUUAAAACGGGAAGAAAUUUAAUAAACAUUUUAAUCGAUUUGGGAACUCAUAGCCCAUUAUUCAUUAGUAGAUUGAUCUCUGGCAUAAGCAGCCAGGACUACAUUUCAUCUCGCGGCAGAUAAUGAGAGGAACUCAUGCUACAGCAUGGGAUUUUUUCACGGACUUGGUUGCAUAAGUCAGAGGAUCGCCGUUAACAAAAGGCCUGAUUGCUGAACUGUAGCUUUGGUCAUAGUAUCUGCUCCAAAGCAUGACCCCUGCAUAGUUGGGAUAGCCCUGCACAACGGGAAGAAUCUGACUAAUUAGCACUUCAGGUGGGAUGUAACCGCCACUAGGUGCGGCCGCUUGGGCUGCAGGUAAUCCAGGAAUAAUUUAUUAACGCCUGGAUAGGGAGACCAUUGAUUACUCCAACUGUUCAAGAGGUUAUCGGCGUUGCCUGUUGUUGUACUAUACUGACAAGGCGGAUUGUUGUAAAACUGCACCCAGACGAAAUCAAAGAGGCCAGUUCUGAUAGCAGCAUCAAGAUAAUAGUCAGGAAAGAAGCAUUGUGGUGCUGCGGAUAAGUACACCUUUCUCUCUGCUGUGCUGUAUCCCGAGAGUGCACGGGCGAGAUCAUCCCAGUACAGGUUCGACCCAUAUUCGAUGUCAAAGUCUAUACCAUCUAAAACAGCAGCACCAAGUGGGCGAGAGUCUGAUUGACCGCCCAAGUAAUUGUUCCAGAGGUAGGCUGCAACAUCGCGAGCAUCCUCGGGAGAAGCCAGGAUUGGCCCUCUCCCUGCCCCGGCACCACCUCCACCAAGAGAAAGGAGCACUUUGAUGCCCAGGCUCUGGCAAACCUCUAUCUGAGAACUCAGGAAGGUGCAUGGGCUCGGGAUACAGUGGCCAGCUAAGUUCAGUUCCGGUGUUUGGCCACUGCCAAAGGAUACCAGAAAGGCAAUAUUUACAUAGUCAUAGUUGCCACUACGGCAGGCCUCUUCCAGGCUUCCUUCAUUGCCAUUUUGGCCCCAGUAGACUGCGAUUCCAGCGCCUUCUGAGGACCUGGUCAAUGAAGAUAUCAUCAGCAGGGAUAUUAAUGCUAAGAACAGUGGUCGUAAACAGGCAGCCAUUUUUUUUUCUUUUUCUCAGCUAUUUUUGCAGAUUUAUUUGGGGGUGAAAUUGGUUGCCCAAAGAUGGCCCCUUUUAUAGGUGAUUUCAGAUUUACGGCAAUAGUUCUAAGAAUAUUUACCAUACCUCCUUUUACCAGAAAACGUGGAAUGCGUGCCUUUUGCCACCGACAAAUCAACCAUGGCUUAUAUCUUAGAGCAAAUUAUCCUUAUAACCAUUAAACUUUUCGAAUAGUCAAGUUUUGACCAUUCAACUUUUCGAAUAAUCGAGUUUUGCUCAUUUAACUAUUAAUAGCAUGUUUUUACCCACUAAACUAUUAAAGUUUAAAUUCUAAGUCAUUCCAUCUGAUUUGUCAUUAACUCUACAAGAUUUAACCAUUACUAAUAUAUCUUAUGUAGACCCUUAGAUCUAACAGAGUUAAUAGUGAAAUUAGAUGAAAUGACACAAAAUUUAUAUUAUUAAUAGUUUAAUGGGUAACAACAUGCUAUUAAUAAUUGAGUAGCUAAAUCUUGACUAUUGAAAAAGUUUAGUGACUACCCAGAUAAUUUGUUCUUUUAUAUUUAACCUAGAAGGUUAAAAAAUCAAUUGAAUUGGUCAAAUUCAAUCAAAAUCGAUCGAUCAGUCAAAAUUGAUAAGAAAAAAAAUAGGCAUUUGAACUGGUUUUCACGAAAAUUUUAUUUCUUGCUUAUAUAUUAAUUUUAUCCAAAUAAUUUAAUUUUAAAAUAAAUUAUAAAAUUAUUAAACAGAGGUUGAACCGCAAAAUUAAUUGAACCACAAAUUCUUCCAGUUCACUUGUAGGUCUGGAUUUCAAAAUAUUGCCUUUUGCUGUAUUUUCAUGCUUGGAAGCACUAUUGGAUCAGUAAAAAGCUGGCCUUUGGACCGAUUUUUCAUUAUUUUUUAUAUAUUAAUAUUAUUCAAGUUAUUUAAUGUUAAUAUAAUUAAAAAUUUAUAAAAUCAUUAAAUCAGAGUUGAACUGGUUGAAUUGAUUGAGCCAGAAGUAGGAAGCUCAUCCAAUUCACUUGUCGAUCCGGUUUCAAAUCAUUUUACCUUCUGCUGUAUUUUCGAGCUUGGGAGCACUGUUGGAUUGGCUUGACCAUAAUUAUGAGAGUCAUUUUCUAAAACAGUUGCUUGAAUUAUCCAGGAUGAUCCACAAUAGACAAUAACAGUAAAUUUUUUUUUACUAUUGUACUGUUAUCUUUCGAUAUUCAAAUAUUCCACAGCAAAAUCCCAACCUUUAUGUAAACAAGAUAGCUUGCCAACUUGCAAAGGCAGUGGUUAUCAAAAAGGACUAAAGUCCCUCUUUGAACUGUAGAUUAGGGAUUCGUAUCCUAUUUACAAAAAAAAUAACAAUAAAAAAAAAAAAGCUGUCAGACCACUCACCAACUUACCAAGGUUAAAUAAUUGAACGCCACCAAUUUCCCACGAAGUUCACGUGCACCCAAUGGACUACACCCAGCAAAACAAAAGACCCCCAAGUUGCUGGAAAUUACGCUAUAAUCGAUCCAUUUUAUGAAUUAUGUAGUCCCUAAACUUUUGACUUUUGCAAAUGUGGUCCUCGAUGCUUCGGAUUUUGUGCAAAUUUAGAAUAAUUGACAAAAAAUCAGGAUGGCGAAGUUCAAAAUCAAAUUGCUGUAACUUGGCAUUGUUGAUCAUUAUGACUUGAUCAUAAUGGCCAAGUUUUGACUUGGCAUUGUUGAUCAUAAUGUUGAAGUUUCGAUUAAGAUGGUUUCUUAAAAUUUAAAUAGUGGUAUUAAAAGUUUCAAGAUGAAAUGAAAUACAGUAGUUAUAUCGAAAUUGCAAUAUAUGUAUACUAGAGAAUUGAAUAAUAAAUAACUUAGAAAAGCUAAUUAAAUCUAUUUUUUAUUUUUUAUUGCUUUCCCUAACAAAAUUUAUUGAUUUCUUUUUCUCAAACUUGGAAAAUACGUUGAGGUCAUUUCAACGACUGUUAAAUAUAGCCUUCGAUGUUGCACUUAAAGACUCAGCUCUACGAUGGAAACCACAGCCUAGGUAGCCCCUGAGGUUCUUUCCCCGUCAAGAAUAUGAUGCCAAUAUAAUUUGUUCUAUAAUUAUUAGCUUUAGACUAAUUGGAUGACUGACGUGUCUUCAAUUUUUCCUUAAACAGUGACACUUUUGAUAAAAGUUGAAAUGGUAAUUACCCUUUGAAUAAUUAUUUUUUGCACAAAUUAUAGACUUGUUGAAAAUUUAUCUAUCCCAACUCUCUUGAAGUAACAACUAGUCUUGGUAUAAGUUUCUUCGCAAAUGCUUUAUCCGUAUAAUGUCAGUGUUGUCUGAAUAUGAACUGACCUUCUUUCGAAAGUAGUUUGUAGCAUAAAAUUACUUUGAUAAAAAAUCAGUCAAAACCAUUUAAAAAAUCGACCAAACUAAUGAUCCGAUUCUCAAACUUUUCUUUUUUGCUCUCCGAAACAUAAUUUGAGUUAGCUAAAGUAUAAAACUUUCAUUUAUUAAUAGAAAUAAGAAAAUGUCGCUCACUUAGGGUCCGUUUGGUUGGACUGAAAAUAUUUUCCCUAGGAAAAUAUUUUCCAUCGAAAUCAUUUUCUUGGAAAAUCACUUUCUUCCCCAUAAUUUUCCAAUGUUUGGUUAUUAAGUGAAAAUAUUUUCCGAAUUCCUUUUUUCAUAAUUUUCAGGUGUUUGGUUUGUCAAUGAAAAUAUUUUCUGAUAUGUUUGUUGAUAUAUUGCAAAUAUUUUUCUACUCUCAAAACAUUCAUUUCAUUACAAGUUAAUUUUAGUUUCUAUCAAUUAUAAUCAUAUUAUCAUUUUUAUAAAAUAUUUAUUCAUAUUACACCAUGAAUUCUUAAAUUUCCCAACUCGAAUACAGGGUGGAAUUAGGAUAGAUCUAGAUCAAACUAACAAUAUUGGAUAUUUUGAUAUUUGAAAAAAAAUGAAUUCUUUCGUCUCAAAAUUUAAUUAAUAUUCAUUACUUAAAUUAAAGUAGUUCUUUCGAUCAUUCAUAGAAAAAAGACACUUGUAAUCCUAAAAGAACUAAAUUGUCAAAUCCCACCACCACCACCUGACACAAAUGCAAUCUUUCACAUUAGACUUGAUUAUCACAUAAAACAUAUUAGCAAUUGAAUUAGAAUAGUGUAGGACAGUUUGAUAUUCUUGCAGCGUUGUUUACUUGCCUUAAGUUACUUCUAAUUAGUAGAAAGGAGAAAGGAAAAUGUCUGGAAUAUUUUGAGAUGAAUGCAAAUCCGACUAGAGCUGUUGAUUUUAUUCUUGUUGUCUGAUCUUUCAUGGGUUCAAGGGAGAAAGCAGAUAGGUCGCUAUGUGUUAUAGCACGAGGUUUGAUGUCAUAAUUCAGUACUUCUAUAGCAAUACUUUAGUUUGCAGGUUGAGUGCAGAUACUUGUUAUUUAUCAAUUCAAAUUGCUCGGCAAAUUAUGUGCAACCAAAGUUUUUAAGAAUUCCAGUGGAAUACCCACUGAUAUUGUGACUAAUAUGAUUCUGCUGCUGGUGAUUCUCUAGCACUGGGAGCGGGUUAUCUGGUUAUCGGAAAUUAACUUCAGGAAAGUUGUUGUGGAAGUCAUUUUCCACUCGGUGGCAUGAAAACAUUUUCCAGCUGAAAUCAUUUUCCAACCUCUUUUGCUUCCAAACACCAAAAAUUCUGGAAAACUUUUUCGGGAAAAUAUUUUCAGUCCAAACAAACAUACCUUAAUGUAAACAUCAAAAUCACUAGCUUUCUUCAAUGAUCUCUAAAUCAAGAGGUUUACAUACAAAAAAAAUAAUUAUAUGGUAAUAGUACUUGACCCAAAAAAAUAAUAUGGUAAUAGUACUUGACCCAAAAAAAAUUUCAUACAAAACCCACAUUUUAAAGCAAAAAGAAUAAUAAAAAUAAAUAAUUGGCUUUUUCAAGUUGUUUUUUUUAAUUACAAUUCCUAGAUUUACAGGUGACUUGUCUAUAUAAUUCACAUCUCAUUUUAUCCUUCUCUCUCCUCGCUUCUUAAAUCCUAAAAUCUUUAAUAUCACUAUUUAUUUGAAACUUAAGGUGUCAUAUUGAUGAAAAUACCUCUUCAGUUGGUGUUCAUCUUUGGAUUACAGAAAUUUUGUGAGUUCUUUUCAAGUGAGGAUUCGGAGCUUUUUGCUACUCUUUGUGAUGAGAUUUGGAACAAUCAGAACUUGGUUUUGUUUGAUGGCAAGCAUAGAGAACCUUUAUCAAUGGUUCGCUUUGUGACUAAUUCCCUAGUAGCUUUCAAAGAAGCCAAUGUGGAACCUCUAGGUUCCUCUUGCGGGUAGUGUACGAUGAAUCAAUUUAAUGUUGAUUUUGAGGGUGCAUUAAACUCUACGAUAUCGGAAGCAUGCGGAAGCUUUUAUGGCUGGUUUGUCCAAGCAAUUCCAAGGGACUGUUGAAUCGAAGGAGGACAGAAGCCAUUGCUACAAAGGAGGCAGUUAAUUCAGCAUUAAAAUCUGUUCACUCCGAAUAUUACACUUGAAGGAGACUCUUUAUCGGUUAUUUAAUUGCUGAAUAGUGAAGAUGAUGAUUUUUCUACAAUGGGGCCAGUAGUAGAAGAUAUUCCUAAGGUUUUGUCUGAAUUGACUUGUUAUGCCAAGAUCCUGUAGCUUUGUUGAAUUCUAUAGCUAAAUUCUUCAGCUUUCGUGGAUUCCUUAUAGAAUAUACCGCCAUCUUUUGUCAAGAAACCAAUGUUGAAUGAUUUUCAAUAAUCUAAUUAAUAAAAAUUCUCUCUCUCUCUUUGUUUCUUUAAAAUAAAAAAGGGUCAAUGCAUCUACUUCUCCUAAUGUUUGGCCGUAUUAUUGAGUAAACUCUGCGGUUUGACUAAAUUCGAAUUAUCCCUUAUGAGUCGGUGUCUAAACCCAAUUAUUAGAAGUGGAGAAAUGACAAAACUACCCUCUGCGAAACUGCAUUUACCUCCCUUGAGGUUUGUUAUCUAAAUAAAAAAGGAGUCUAUGAUUUGACCAAAAUGUGUUUUAACCCUUUGAAUAGCCACUCUUAAGAAACUCCUUAAUAUAAUCCAAAAAAUAAAUAUGGAUUAAAAGAAAAUAAACAAUUACUUUUUCAAUUGCAUAUGGCUUAUUUCAGUCGCUACCACACUGGUCCAAUUCAUUGUUUCCAUACAACAAAUUAUCUAUUUUUCUUAAAUAUCUAAUUUCGUAUGGAAUGAUAAAAUUGAGCUAAACUUUAUGGAUUUUUAUCCAUAACAAAGCAUUAAAUUUUAAAAAAUGUACUAAUAAAUUUAGGAAAACAUGACAUUAAAUUCCUAUCCUUAAACCAAGAAAAGUGUCUUUGUUUGAUAUUUACUUCUAAUUUUCAUAUGUGUAUCUUUGUAUAAAAAUCCUAAAAUUUUAUGUUUUUUGGAAAACGAAGUUUGAUUAUUUGCACGUUGAAAUAGAAAAGAGUUUAGAAUAUAAAAAAUAUAAUAGUGGAGGUUCAAGAAACUACACUCAAUGAGAUAUACUCUUAUUAGUGAUGUCAUAUGACCAGAGUUUUGGUUACACUAACUUUAAUCUAUAGAAAGAUGAAAGAAUGGCUGGAAGAAGGAUGAUAGAAAAUAAGUAUUUUGAUAAUUUCAAAAAAUUCUGUUGCAAAUGAUGCAAUUGAGCAAUGGCAAAUGUUUGGCUAUUUAAAAUGUUGGGCUGAUUUGGAAAAAGGAUAAAUUAACUUUUACCCUUUGUACUUUACCACAUAACCCCAUAUGAUUUAAAAACCUAUAUAUAACCCUCUCAUGAUUUGAGUUAAUACGUGACUGUUAAUUUUUCCAUUAAAACAAAUGGUUAAUAGUAAAAGUCAAAAUCAAACUAAUAACUUAACAAAUUUACCCUUUCAUUACUUCUUUUUAUUCCCCUCCAAACAUAAAAAGAAAGAAAUUGAAAUACAAAAUAGAUAAAUAAGAACUAGAAAAUACCAUUAAAGAUUUGGUUUAAAAAUCUAUAAUGAUAUUUGUAAUAAAAAAGAUUUGGUAUUUUUUCUUUCUUAUUUAUUUGUUUUAUAUUUCCCUUCCAUGUUUUUUGUUUCUUAUUCAUUUAUUUUUUAUUUCCCUCACAUCUCUUUUGUAAUUGGAGAAAAUUAAGGUUUUAUAGGCCAAAGUAUAUAUUUCCAAAUCAUCUCUCCUCUUCCACAAAAAAAAAGAAAGAAAGAAAGCGAAAAAAGUAGUGAAAGAGUGAAUUUGUCAAUUUAUUAGUUUGAUUUUACUUUUUACUAUUGACAUUAGUUUUAAUGGAAAAACUAAUGGUAUCACGUUAACCCAAAUCAUGAACGGAUUAUAUAUAGGUUUUUAAACUAUAUGAAGGUCAUGUGAUAUAUAUAGAUUUUUAAACUAUAAGAGAGUCAUGUGGUAAAGCACCAAAUCAUAGAGAGAUAAAAGGUUAUUUACCCUUGAAAAAAACUAUGGAUUUAUUGCUGUGAUUUAGAUAAACUUCUAGGGGUAAAUGCAAUGAACUCAAUUUACAAAACGGUACUUUGGAGCUUCCAAACAUAUAUUUUGUUGAUGCAAGCAUAAUUUCUUGCAGUUCAGCCUUGGACCAAAAACAAUAAGAGUUCAAACAUUGUUAGAGCUUAGGACAUAGAGUUAGAGUCAAGUUUAAUUUGUAUGAAUAUUUGGACAAAUUUCUACAAAUAAUCCUAAAUUUAGAAAAUAUCUCAUUUAGAGUGUUCGGUGAGAUUGUUUUCUACAGUUAGAAUCGCCGCAUUUGGGCGAAAUAGUAUUUUUGUUUUGAAAAUUUUUUUUUGGUGUCAGAAUGACUAAAGAUUUUUUAUUCUUUUCUAUGCAUCUUUGUGAAAAUUACCAUUUGCCGCAUCCAAAAGUGGAUGUGGCGAUGCACCAUUCUCUACGGCCUCAUUCCACUAUGCCAUUUUCUUCGGGAAAAAUUAUCAUCUGGAUACAUCUUCCGAAACAGCUGCCACAAAUAGCAGAAGGGUCUUCCCCAGUAUACACAUGUUACUGUACUCAAAUAUCCAAGUUCCAGGACAGAAGAAUAAAAAAAAAAUGAAUAGCUUUUCAAACGAAUAAUAGCUUUUUAUUAUUAUUAAUUUCAAACCAAUAAUAACAAAAAAAAAUGAAUGCACAUUUUUUUGUUAUUAAUUUUUUUGUGAAUUGGGAUAAUUUGUAGUGGUGUCAAGCGGACUUUAGCAAGCCCAAACUCAGUUCACAAAUUAUAUGAAUUUUCAAGUUUCGAGGUUUUGGGAUUCGGGCUCAUAGUAAAAAGGUUUAAUCUCAACUCACAUUAUUAUAUGAGAUUCAGAAUCAAAUCGGGUUUGGCCCAAACUCAUAAUUAAAUACAUAAUUAUAUAUAAUAUAUACUUUUAUAAUUAUGAAUUAAUGCAAAUUUACAUAUAAUUUAUUAACAUUUUAUGUCGCAAUAUGUACUAGUAUUCAAUACACAUACUAAUGUGUGUGCAACUAAUAGAAAAAGUAUUUGUAAAAUAUAUUGAGUAUAUUUAUUAAAAUCAUUUUUAAGAAAAUUGAUUUUAUAUUUUGAAAAUACAUAUGUAAAAAAUUCAGCAAAAUAAAAGUUAUAAAAAGUAGUUGGUAGCUGCUAAUUAAAAUUAAGAGUUACUAAAUAAGUUGAAAAAUAGAAUAUGAAAAAAUACAUAUUAUUUGGUAAAAAUCAUAUUGGUAGUGGGUAGCUAUCAAAGAAAGAUAAAUUUUUGUUUAUACCAAAAGUUUCUUCAUCAUCAAGGUUAGUUCAUGAAGUAUAUAAAGUGACGGAUUUUUGUUUAUCCCAAACACCCUCCUCUGCAUUUAUAUAUAAUAUAUGUAGUAUAGAUAAUUAUAAAUUAUAUAUAUUAUCAUAUAUAUUUUACAUAUAUAAUUAUACUCAUACAUGGGUGUACUUUUAAUUAGGCAUGAACCUAGAAUGACUCAAAUUUGACUUACAUUUAGUUCGGAUCUAAUAUUUAGAUCCAAACUUUGCCCGAUUCAAUUAAACUUUAGGCUCAUGGAGCUUUUUUGAGGCCAAAUAGGUUGAGCUCGAGUUGGUUCGACCCCAUUAACAGUCCCAGUAAUUUUUUACAAGAAGAUUAGUUUUAAAGAAGGUUAAUAAUUUUUUAAAAUUUCAGGGGAGGAUAGUAAAUUUGUUAAAAAUCUUAGGGGAGGCUUCUAAAAUUAUUCCUAAAUUUCCCUAUAGAAAGUUGGGCAUGUGUUUGACAAAUUUGGCAAAUAACGAUCACUUAUCCAUUAACCAAAUAAAUAAUAAGGAAACUUGACGGUUAAGACUUCUGACAUCUUGCGUCGCCGCAUCCACUUUUGGAUGCGGCUAAUGGUCAUUUUCACAGUCGCCCGCGAAGAUGUAUAAAAAAAUAAAAACAUUUAUUCACUCUAACACCAAAAAAUAAUUCAAAACAAAAAUGCCGCAUUUGUGACACCAAAAAAUAAUUCAAGAUAAAAAUACUAUUUUGCUGUUGCCGCAUUUUUUUCAAAUGCGACGACUCUAAAUAAAAAAUACAAUACCAUAAAACACCAUUAAUGAGAUAUUUUCUAAAUUUAGCAUUAUUUCUAGAAAUUCGCCGAAUAUUUGAGACUCACUAAAAUAGUCAUUUUCGUGUCCACUCACAAGUGUUUGCAUUUGAGUACGUACUAAUUAUUACUCCCUCCGUCCCACUUUGAUAAUUCUGAUUCUUUUUUCACACAGUUUAAUAAAAAGUAGUUAACUUUGUUGAAACAAUCAAUUUAGGUAGCUAUUUUUCUAAAAUACUCUCAUAUUAAUUAGAGUACAACUUUAUGGGAACUUGAAUUGAUGGUAAAAAAAGAAUCAAUUCUCAUUAAAUGGGGUAGGUUUAUAAUAACAACAACUUACAUUGAAUAAGGGUAUUUUAGGAAAAUUAAAAUAUAACUAUAUUUUUCAAUUGAAAAGUGGACUACAAUUUGGGACAGACGAAAAAGGAAAACAUGACUAUCAAAUGGAACGGAGGGAUUAUUACUUCCUUCCCAAUUUAUUUGUCGCGUCGCAUCUCGAUCAGUAGUAAUAGCAAUUUGUCAACAUAAACGUCUUAUCAGCUAACAAGAAAAAAUCAUUGAAGAAGAAGAAUAUAUCCCAACUUUGCCCUGUUCAUUUAGUGAUGACAAUUCAAAAGUUUUUAGGAAUACUUGGAAAGGAGCCAAUGGUGGGCCUAUGUGUUUUGUCAUUUUUCCACUUACUUUUCAACUUUGUAAACCAAUAAUUAUAGCUUUAAUCUACACUUUCCUCUUUCACACUUAAUGGUUGGUUGAAAGACGAAAAUGGACUAAAAAUGGUUUGUCAAUAUUAGCAAGUGGCAAUCAUUUUGUGACACAGAAAAUAAAAAAACAGCAUUAUAUUUUCAAUCCGGUCCGUAGAUGUCGCUAUUAAAAUAAGGAGAAAAGAAGGAGAAGGCUAAUCUAUCAGUCUAUUUAUCUAUUUUAAUAAGACCAGAAAUGUCGAUUUUGAGUUAGAGAGUCUCUAAAUUUGUUUGCACUUUUACUCCCAAUUAAUAUCGACCGCAAAUGUAUCAUUUUUUGUGGGACCAAAAAUACUUGAUAUACAUUAUAUAUAGAGUUUUUUUUAUUUUUAAAAAAACUGAAGCAGGGGCAAUAGCCUCCACCUCAGCCGUGAUAGCUCAAUUUUAUCAAAUAAUAUUUCGCUUGUAUCAUAAAUAUAGUUUUUUUUAAAAAAAUAAACAUAUUUUUUAAUUCAUUUUUUAAUAUUUUUUAUUUCAUAUAUAUCACAUUAUAAAAAAUACUACAUUAAUUAUUUUAAAUAAUAUUCUAUCCAAACACUCCAUAUGAUAAGAAAAAUGAGAAUAGUACAGUCGGCAUGAUCAGUCAAGAUAUUUAUAGCGGUUGUCGAUUCGAUGUUAUUGAUAAGACACGAUAUUAUUGAUAAAACGACUACUAACCAUACACAUGCAUUGUCAAAUCAUUAAAGAGUAUCCAAAACUGACUAACUAUAUAAUAAACUCAUUAAAACCUAAGAAAAUGUGUCCAUUGAAAUAUUUCAUUCCGUACAGACCACCCAGUUUUCUCUAGUCCUUGGAAUCCUUCUCCAUCCGAGAUCACCAAAUCCACAGAGGCCAAAUAAUGGCAGGUUAUCGUAAAAUGAGAGGCAUGCUACUGAGUAAUGAGGAACAAAUUGAGGAUACCUUCUGGCAGCUACAGUAUCAAUCCAUCCGCUCUUCAAUUUUACCGUCUUCGAACAACCACUUUUUCGUCAGAUGUCAUCACAUCAUCAACCUUAUCUCCCCAAAUUUUUAAACCCCAAAAGAGGAUAAACCAAAACAGCAUAAUAAAAAAAAAUUUUAAAAAAAGCCCAAGCUAUGGAUGUAUGGAUAUUUUAUUUGUUAGACUUCUUGAAUCAGUCCCUCUUAAAUUUUGUUUUUUUGGUCAUUUGUAUGGCAGUUUUGUAAUCAUAUAAUCUUUUUACUUGAGGGAGACUGAAUUCGGAUGAGAAUUUGUAUUGACUCAUUAUCAAGCUUGAUGAAAGGAAAAAUGAAACUGCCUUAUGGUCAUAGCAUGUUGGCAAAAAUGCUUAAACUACGUGUUUCAUAGAAUGGCAUCCUAAGAUAGUGACUGUGACAUCAGUAAUUAAAGAUGAGAAGACAUAUAAGAGUGUAAUGGCAACGUUUGUCAAGUGAAUUUUUUGGGUAUUUGUUUAAAAUUUUACUGUAACUUACUGUAUAAGUUUUAAAAAAAAUUUUGAAGUAUGUUUUUUUUUUUAAUAUUUUAAAGUGUAUAGUUUAAAAAUUUUGAGAAGUUUUUUGAAGUUAUUGUAAUUAAGUUUUUAAAAAACUUGUAGCAGACAAACCUGACAAAAAACUUAUCUACCAAACAAGGCCCUAGUCCUAUGAGCAUGGUUUCGUGAAACUUCAUAGAUCUUGAUCUCUUUGAUAAAUUUUGAGGAUAAAUUUCCACAUAGUUUUUCCAAAGUCAUGGAUAUUGGAUUGCUGAUUUGAUAAAAUAAACUUAAGAAGCCUUAAUGCAGCAUUGGCAAAAGGUUGUCUGCUGAUUGCGUGGGUUCAUAUUGAUAAACUCAAGCAACAUCCUUCUGGUAUGUGCCUGUGCCUAGUGAUUGUUUCGAUUGCUCCUAGUUCUUUUUUUUUUUUUGAUAAAAUAGGAGUCAAUAUUAUUAUAAAACUAAUUGAAAAUCAUCUACAACGAUUUGUUCGACGAAAAAAAAAUCAGUAAUGGCAGAAAAUAUAUAGAACAUAUCAAAAAUAUAUCUAAUUUGAAAAUCAUUAGAUUUAAUAGAAUUAUAAAAUAUAAAAUAUUACGAUGUGAGUUACAGACCAUUAGAUCUGACCAAUUGCUAGAACUGCUUCCGUAAACAUAUGGAUUGUUCCUAGUUCUUAUUAUAAUUAGGUUUGUUUGGAUAGAGUAUUAUUUGAAAUAUUAUUUGGAAUAAUUACUGUAGUACUUUUUGUGAUGUGAUGUAUGUGAGAUAAAAAGGUGGUUGGAAAUAUAAAAAGAUAGGUUAGAAAAUGUGUUUAUGAUGCAAGUAAAAUAUUAUUUGGAAUAAGUUUACUAUCCAAAUAUAAUAAUUAUUUGUUGACGUUGGAUACGGACCAAGGUAUGGGUCUAUAACAUGUGGCUUUCUUCUGCAUCUGAUGUUUUAAAGAGGAUCCCUUCUCAUUGUUAAUUAUAAUGACAGUGAGACGUGGUGAGACUAAGUCCAUUAAAUCAAGAAAAUAGUUAGUGAGCUACUCGAGACAUUUGGUUGAUUAAGCCUUUUGUAAUAAUUUUGGUCAAAUACGCUAAAAUAAAUCAAAUUGAAGGAUAUGCAAUGUCUGGUUGUUUACUUGUACUUGCAUCAGCUUUUUUUUUUUUUUUUUGUCUUUGAAAUUUUUUUCUUAAAAAAUAUUCGUACAAAAGAGUUAAAGUAAGCAACUAUUUAAAAUUUAAAAUACAAAAUGUAAUACAAAAAUAGUAAAAAUAGUUGAUAUCAUGCUCAACUUAACAAUCAAUAAUGUCGAAUAAAUCUGAGGAUUGCUCUAAUUGAUGGUGCGUGGUGGUAAAGUACAAUAUGAGAAAAGUAAAUAGUAUAUAGUUUUAUAAUUUUAUAAAUUACAGAAUGGACAUUCUAAAUUUUUGAUAGGGAUAGAUCACUGAAAAAAGAAAAAAAAAAUAUUAAUUUACAAUAUCUACAUGAUAGUCUCAUGGCCCAAGGAGAUAUAGACAAAGACUCGUGAUUGACACAUGAACAACCUUCAAUGCAAACAUGAAUGUUGCAGGCUGGAUGACCUUGAAAUUUUUGUGAAGAUAAGUUUUUUUUUUUUUUUUUUUUAUUUUUAAGGAGGAUAAGUUUUCAUGGUCUCUUUCAUUUCACUUCACAAUACCUGUUCGUUGAUGGUCUUAUACUUUAUGAAAAACUUUGUCACGCUGUGCCCUACUAAUUUGUUUUCUUCAAUUUUGUCCAUAACCUUUUCCUACCCAAUGCCUACACAAGCACCCCCCCCCAACAUUUGUACGGGCUUAAUUCUAUAGUCUUUUUUUUGGGGAUAAAAUCAUCAUCAUUUUAUCAAAUCCGUACUAGUGGCAACAUAUUCGAAGAACAAAUACUAGAUAUUACAGUUUUGAAAAAAACAACAAAAUAUAAUUAUACUGCAGAACUCGAAAAAAUAUCGAAUAAUAAAGCACUUAUAGUCUCAAAAAUACUUUCAAAUGUACCGUUUGCUUCCUCCGAGAUAUGCUAAUGAAGUGAUUUAAGCCUACUGUUAAAGUGAGAUCCGACGAGGUAGAUCUAAGAAAUCUCAGUUUCAACAACAAAAUCUGAUAAAAUUUAGACCUAAUAUAAGGAAACUUAACGGUUAAGACUUCUCACAUCUUGGUGUCGCCGCAUCCAAAUGGUCAUUUUCAUAGUCGCCUGCGAAGAUGUAUAAAAAAAAAUUAAAAAAUUUUAGUCAUUCUGACACCAAAAAAUAAUUCAAAACAAAAAUACUAUUUCGUUGUCGCCGCAUUUGUGACACCAAAAAAUAAUUCAAAAUAAAAAUACUGUUUUGUUGUUGCUACAUUUGAAAAAUACGGCAACUCUAAGUGGAGAAAACAAUCUUAGAAAUACCAUAAAUGAGAUAUUUUCUAAAUUUAGGUUGUGUUUGGAUUGCAUUUUUCGUGAUUUUUCAUGGAAAAAUUACUGUAGCGAUUUGAUAUAUGUGAGGGAAAAAGGUAAUAGAGAAAUGUAAUAACGAAAACGACGUAAUUUUUCUAUGAAACCGACAAUCCAAAUAAGGCAUUAUUUCUAGAAAUUCGCUGAAUAUUUCCGUGUCUACUCACAUGUGUUUGCAUUGGAGUACGUACAAAUAAUUAUUACCUCCUACCCAGUCUAUUUGUCGCGUCGCAUCUCGAUCAGUAGCAGUAGCAAUUUGUCAACAUAAACGUCUUAUCAGCUAAAAAGAAAAAUCAUUGAAGAAGGAAAUCUGCUCAACAUCCCAACUUUGCCCUGUUCAUUUAGCGAUGAUAAUUCGAAGGUUUUUAGGAAUACUUGAAAAGGAGCCAAUGCUGGGCCUAUGUGUUUUGUCAUUUUGGUAUCAAAGCUCAUGCAUUUUACAAUGGGUAAACGCAUAAAAACAGCAUUAUAUUUUCAAUCUGGUCCAUGGAUGUCGCUAUUAGAAGAUAAGAAGAAAAUGAGGAGAAGGCCACUAUAUCUGUCUAUUUAUCUAUUUUAAUAAGACAGAAAUGUCGAUUUUGAGUUAGAGAGUGUCUAAAUGUGUUUAUAGAGUUUUUUUUUUUAAAACUUAAGUAGGGGCAAUAGCCCCCGCUUGAGCCAUGAUAACUCAAUUUUGUCAAAUAAUAUUUUACUUGUAUCAUAAAUAUAUUUCUCAAUCUAUUUUAUUAUAUUUUUAAUUAUAUUUUUAACUCACAUACAUCAUAUUACAAAAAUGUUACAUUAAUUAUUUUCAAUAACAUUUUAAAUAAUACUCUAUCCAAACACUCCCUAUGAUACAGAAAGACGAGAGUAGUACGAUCGGCAUGAUCAGUCAAGAUAUUUAUAGCUAUUGUUGAUUCGAUGUUAUUAUUGAAAAAACAAGAGAAUUCACCCGAAAGUAGCAGAGGACAAAACGACUACUAAAUCUUACACAUGCAUUGUCAAAUCACUAAAGAGUUACCAAAACUCACUUACUCAGAGUAUAUAAUAAAGGGCAAAUUACACUUUGAACCCCUAUGAUUUAGCGAUUUUUCACAUAACCUCUCUAUGGUUUCAAAAAUUAUACAUAACCCCUCAUGAUUUAGAUUAAAGUGUCAAAGUAACGGAAAUUAUCAUUCGUAAUAGAACCUUUAAAAACGUCGAAAUUACCUUUAUAAAUACAUGACACACUAACUCCGUAUGGUUUUAUAUUUUACUAUAUAACUCACUUAUAGUUUAAUACUUUAUCAUAUAACCCCCUUAUGAUUUUCAAAAUAUACACAUAGCCCCUUUGGUUAAUAAAUAAUUUUUAAUUUUACAUAAGGGUGUUUUUGACAUUUUAAAUGACUCCGUUACGAAUACUCAUUUCCGUCACUUUGACACUUUAAUCCAAAUCAUGAGAGAGUUAUGUAUAACUUUUGAAACCAUAGGGGGUUAUGUAGAAAAACACUAAAUCACGGGGUAAAGUGUAAUUUUCCAUAUAAUAAACUCCAUUAACACCUAAAAAAAGAUGUUCAUUGAAAUAUUCCGUCCCGUACAGAACUCCUAGUUUCCUCUAGUCAUUGGAAUCCUCUACCAUCUGAGAUCCGUGGAACCUAAAUUUUAGGGUUUUAAUAAUAACCAAUGCGUGCAGGGUUAUAGGAUUGAAGGGAUAAAAUAGACGUUCAAAAAAAAUGUAGGAGAGAAGAAAAUAAUCAAUUCACAAUAUUAUUGAAAUCUCAAAUCGUGAAAAAAAAAAGUAAAACAUUGUAGAAAACCUAACAAAUUUUUCUAGACUCUCUCUCUCUAGAAAACAUCCUAAAUAAUGUCUUAUUUAUAAUUUACUAGAUUUGUUGGGAAAGAAACCACUUGGAUAAGAAAUUAGUAUUCCUAAUAGUAUGUGGAUAUUUAAAUCUUGUACUAACAAUUACGGAUCAAAUAAUAAAAAGGUACCAAAUAUCAUUUCUUGAUUUUAUAUAUAGGUAUACUUGAAGAACACCACUAAAGGAUUAAAGUGGUUCAUUGAUAAUAGGUGUUUAAGACACAUGACUGGUAUUCCAUCUCUAUUCAUCAAGUUCAAGCUAGAAAGUAGUGAAAAUAUCACCUUUAGAGAUGACAUGAAGGCUAAAACCAUUGGAAUAGGAGAUAUUGACAAAAACGGUGACACUUUCAUUCAAAAUAUUCUUUUGGUUCAUAACUUAAGCUAUAAUUCAUUCAGUGUUAAUCAAUUAUGUGAUAGAUAUCUUUAUGUGUUGUUUAAAAGGCGUGAAUAUUUGAUUCUUGAUACUAAUUUUAAUGUUGUAUUCAAAGGCAAAAGAUACAAUGAUAUUUAUGUGAUAUAUCUUGAAAAAUUGAUGAUAGUAAGAUUAGUGUCUUAAGAUUACAAAUGAUGAUCCUUAACUGCGGAAUAGAAGACUUUGCUAUUUCAAUAUGGAUUUAUUAAAUGAAAUUUUCACAAAGGAACUCGUUAGAGAUUUGCUAAAAAUUAAACUUAAAAAGGAUAAACUUUGUGAUGCAUGUCAAUUUAAAAAACAAACAAAACUAGUGGAUACCAUUGAUCGAAUAUACCACCAUUCUUCAAUAUGCCAUAGAAAAAACAACUUUCUUCAUCAGAUUUCAUCAAUCGUCAACCUUAUCUCCCCAAAUUUAAUUUUUAACAACCCUAAAAAGGAUAAACCAAAACAUGAAAGAGACCCCAAUCUUGCAGUUCACCGUCACUGUGCCAGCAUCGAAGUAUGCCCUCCUUUGCAAAAUUUCUUUUUUUAUAACUUGAAAUUUGUGUGAAUUAUUGUGUGCAACCUAUGGAUGUUUGGAAUUUUUAUAUUAUUGGUCUUCUUGAAUUUGUCCCUCUUUAAUUUAUUUGGUCAUUUGUAAUCAUAUAUUCUUCUUACGUGAGAAAGACUGAAUUCGGAUGAAUUUUCUAUUGACUCAUCACGGACUUUGAUUAACGGAAAAAGGAAACUGCCAUACGGUCAUAGCAAUCAAGCAUGCAUUUUGGAAAAAAUGCCAAAACUGAAUUGAUGGUUGUUCACUAUUUUUUGUUCUUCUUGUAACUGGAUAUUGAAAGGUUGAAGAAUGGGGAAGGAAAAUUUAGGAUUGAAUUGGCACGAAUAGGUGCCCAAUUCAGCACCAAAUCAGAGCCUUCGUACUUGCAAUUGAUUUGUAGGUGUUUUGCUUUCUUACAGUUGAUGGUGGAUUAUUAUUGACUAGUUCUGCGGAAAUUAUCUUCAAUUACAAGUAGAAAAAAAACUGGAAAUGUUUCAUAGAAUGGUAUCCAAAGACAGUAGUGAUUGUGAAAUCAGUAAUGAUCGCAAGCGGAUUAUCAUAAUUAAAGAUAUGAAGACAUAACAUUUAUUGUGAUAGCAAAUCUUAUCCUAUGAGCUUCUUUCAGCGAAACUUCGUAUAUCUCGAUCUCGUGAACCGUGUACGAUGGAACACUUGGACUCUGUCAUAGAUUGCAGGUUGGAUGUUAGUGAAUGGACUUGGCCCCCUUCAACAAAGACUCUCUUUAUUUCUAACCCUACAUAUUUGAAUGCAUGACACGUAUACAGCGUUAUACUUUAUUUGCAUCCUUGCAGCUAAAAUUUCACUUUAGCUUUAUUAUCAUAGUGAUUGUUACGUACAUUCUCUUACUCCGAAAUAGAUUUAACUUUCUCAAAAAGGAAAAAGUAAAUCUCCACUGCAAAGCUUUUGAGUUCUGAAUGCUGUCUAUCCUUGGCUUUCGUUGUUGUACUCUCUCUUCACUGAUUUACAUAGAGCUCGUACUUGGAAAUGUUUAACCUUGACAAUGGAAUCUCAGCGUUAAUUAAAACUAUGAGAACUGCAAUGAGAAGUGGUCAUGCCAAAAAACUACCCGUUUGAAUUAGUUAAUUUUGGGAGUAUUUUUGAAAAAUUUUACUGUAACAUAAUUUUUAUAAUAUAUUUUGAAAUAUUUAAAAGUAAAAGAGUUUUUAGAAUAUAUUUUGGGAUGUUUUUUAAAUAUUAAAAAAUUUAGACUACUUUUUAAAAAUUUUAAUUAGUAUUUGAAAAACUAAUUUUUGAAAAACUCUUGAAAUUUUACAGAAAAAUCGCGAGUUUUUACAGAAAAAUUUUAAAAUAUUUUUAAUUAUCUUUUAUUUUAUAUAUUAUAUUAUUAUAAUAAUUUUUUUUUUUACAAAAACUCUGAAAACUUGCAAUUCAACCAACAAGAUUUCAUUUCAGCACGUUCGUUUAAGUGAUUUUCAUUGAGUAGGGACGAAAUUAAUGUAGCUUCACGGAGAUUACAUAGGUUUGUCCUAUAAAUAGCUGUACCAGUUUAUGAUUUUUCUUUACGAAUGCGACUCUUCAAUUCAUGCAUGUGGUGAAAGCAUCUGAUGAAAAAAGAAGGAAUGGAUAGGAAGGAGUGGUAGCACAAUAAUUUAGGAUGGACUGGCAGAAUUUGUAUUGACAAGACAACAAUAAUGGUCCGUUCGGGUUGUACGAUGCGGUUGGUGUCAAUCAAUUCAGUAAUAAAAGAAGAAAAAGAAGUGUUGAUAACUCUAUACAUCAAUUCUGUCUUCAAUAUCUUAACUAGAAAAUUGUGCGCCCCAACUUGGAUGUACAAGUGAACAUUAAUUAAUCAGAUUUGCAUAAACAAUUUUGUAGCCCAGAGACAAGUUCGAACUAGGAUGUUCAAGAGAGAAGGUUUGUUUAGACCCAUUCAUCAUCAAUUCUGAUUUGCAUGUUCCAACCUGUUGGCCCAAAGGAAAAAAACUACACAGUUAAAUUUAUUUUAACACAUAUAAAAAUAUGCAGGAGGAAGAGGAGAUCAGCAAAUACACAAUAAUAAUUCAAUAAACAAUAAUGCUCGCAGAUAACAAUUUUAGAGAAAUUUUCUCAAUUUCCAUAACUCAACUCUUUUUUUUUUUUUAAAAAAAAGAGAGAUGACAGUAAUUCAAUUUAUAAAGUAUAUAUCCAACAGAUUCCAGUCACAAAGGAGUAGGAAACUAACAGAUAUAACAAUAUUGACAACGCACAAAAAUAUAUUGCAAUACUAUUAGUAUCCCACUGUCAAUAUGAUAAAUGUAACUUCCCAAACUUUAAUAACCGGAACAUGGGGAAAUAUAUCUUUGCCGCAUCAAUUUCUAAAUUCUCUAACUCACUAAACCAACAAAUAAAAAAACUUGCCACAUAAGUAAUUUAAUUUAAUAAUUGGCUUAUUUUAAGGGGAAUGUAAUUUGUACUUCCCUUAUGUUAUUUACACUCUCACUAUCCAAUUUUUAUCUUGAUAAAAUCAUAUUAUCCCUAUUCUAAUUUAUUCUCCUACCCUAUCUUGUGUUCACGUGCAAGAGAGUUAGACAUAAUUGUCGUACGUGUCCAAAAGAUAAAAAAAAUUUAACUUUUGCUUCUCUUUUUCUAAAUUUACAUAACUAUUUUUUAAUUUAUUUUUAAUAUUCUUAUUUCAAUUUCAAUUUUACAGGUUUUGAUGAGCACAAUUGAGGUUCCAUUGCAUUAUCUGGAUGUUAGAUGCUGUUAUGCUUUUGUUGAAAUAUAGUAGAAAGUUUCACUCUCUCUAUGGUGGUUAUAUGAGCUAUUCUUAGUUAACUUUUUUUGAAGUAUUAGUAUCCUAUUUAUGAGACAUUGUGGUGAUACUCAAUUUUCAGUCAUCUUUGAAACUUGAAAUUAUUUAUUUAUUUAUUUAUUUUGGGCUUGAAGUUUGGAAUUUGUUCAUAUUACAUUGCUAGAUUGAUUUAUAGCAUCAUAUAAUUUCGUAAAAUUUUGUAGAAAAAUACAUAAUAUAUAUUAGUGACAAUUUUAAAUUAGCCAUUAUAGUGUGUAACGGAAUAAUUAAUUAGUUUUAGAACAUAAGAAAAAAUCUAGUAAAGUUAACUCAUAAGCAAGGAGAAAAAAUUAGAGAGGGGUAAUAUGUGGCCUCAUCCAAAUAAAAAUGAGAUAAUGCGAGUAUAAAUAAUAUUACCCUAUUUUAAUUAUCUACACAGCCAUUGGCCAGCUUUCUUGGGCAAUUACAUAAUCAGCCCAACAUUUCUAAAUUUCAGCUUGGAAGGACAACCCUUAUAAAUUAAUUAACAGCUCAUCCUGCAAUACAAAUAACAGAAGUUAAAUCUAUAGCUUUAUGUGUAGACCUUGUAAUCAAUUGGUGAGUUACAUUGGUUAAGUGAUGUAUGUUGAUACAACUAGCAUUGGAUUAUAAAGAAACUUGAUAUGGCUAUAGAGUCCAAGAGCGGUUCGGGAUAUCGAGUCUGCCUAAGUAUCUUUCAAACCCAUUUGGAUUAGGUUAAGUUUGGAAAUGCCAAGAACGACGCGGGGAAAGGUAACAGUUAAUUGUCUGUUCUGUAUCAACGUGGAGACUUGAAGCAGCGAACCUAGAAAUCAGUGACUCUCAUAAUGUAGGUCAGGUCAAGUCAGGACAGUAGCUGCCUCGAGCAUUAUUAUUACGCAUUGAAAGGCACAAAUUUCAGUCUUGUUCUUGGAUGUUUGGAUUUGAUUGGCUGGGCAGUAUCUAAAACGAAUAUUCUUUUCAGUACUAUUAAAUUUUGCACAACUUGUCAAACUGACGUUGUCGCAUUGAAAGAGAUAUUUUAAUUAAGUAGAUAGAUAAUGUAACAGGAAAAGUUGUAAAAGAGGAACUACUUUGGACAGAAUUCACCUUCUAUAAAAUAAAAUGGUUAAUCCUAGGCCAACCAACAUAUGCAGAAAGCAAAGAUGCAAAUUAAAAUAUGUAACUCAAUAAACAAAAAGAAUGGCUUUUCUCUUUACAGCCACUAUAAAAGGUUUAAUUUGCCCCUUAGUCAUCAAUAUUCUAAAUCGUAUACUUAUGAGCUAAGUACGAAAUUGUAACACCGGUUGAAAUUGAUUUAAUAAGAUAAAAAAAUUUGGCUGAAGUGUGUAUUGUUUUGGUUCAAGGGGGUAAAAUGAGAGGAGCCCCAUGAUUCAAAGGGACAAAGUGCCUUUCAUCCUUUAGAUAAAUAAAUGCUCCCCACUCAUUUAGUGAAACAUGAUGAUGCAAGUAAUAUUACAUUAUUAUGAUGAUAUAUGUGGCUCUUGAAUAUGCACCACAUCAUCCAUGAGUGGUUCUGAAAAUUAGGUUUUUAAGAAGGUUUUAAAAUCCAAGCCAUUUAUUAAACUAAAAAUCUUACUGGGUUAAAAAUCAUUGGGCCAAAUGUUAUCAAAUCAUUGUUAAUUUAUGACAUCAGAGAUGUAUCAUAAAUAAUUAAUAGGAAAAAUUGUUUAAUACAUCUAUCAUAUUUUGUAAAUAAUUUUGUGUUUUUUACUUUUAAAAUAUUAACUUUAUAUCUUUUAUAAAUUCAAGUUAGUAAAAUUUGGUUUCAACCUAAAUUUUUGAUCACUUUUUUUGCCUAAAAUCACCAUGUGACCCAAAUUCAGUCAUUUUUUUUUUAGAGAAAAUUACAAUUUUAGUACCAAAUGUUUGGAGCAUCAAUGGUUUUAGUAUUUAAAGGUUGGACAAAAACAAAUCGAAUCCUAAAUGUUUUAAUUUUCAAGCAUAUUUAGUCCAAAGGACUGAUUUUGGCAAAUUAUUGCUUGAAUUUGGUCACGCCAAUAGCACGUUUUGACAACUAACUUUUGGAAAAAAAUAGAAAAAAGAAAAGAUAUUGGUGGCCAUUUUUUGUAAUUAAAGGGCACUAAUUAGUCGUAUGCAUAGUAAUUAGUCUUUACUCUUUAACUACAUGACUACUGUGUGUGUGACUAAUUAUGCCCUUAAAUAAAGAUUAUGGCCACCAACAUCUUUUCUUUUUUUGUAUUUAUUUUUAAAAUUUAAGCUACUGACAUGUGUUGUUGACAUGACUAAAUUCCAAUAACAAUUUGUCAAAAAUCAAUCAAUUGGACUAAAUAUGCUUAAAAAUUGAAAUAUUUGGGAUUAGAUUUACUUUUGUCCAAACUUUAAGGAAUAAAACUGCUGAUAUCCCAAACAUUUGGUACUAAAUUUGCAAUUUUUUCAUUUUCUAUGCAUAAAAAAUGUCAUAUCCUACUUUUUUAGUGACAAAAAUAAAUAUAGAUUGUGUCAAAUUUCACUUUUUUAGGGAAAAAAUGCAUUUAAAUGCGAUCCUACUUUUUUAGGGUAAAAAUGAAUAUAGAUCGAAUCAUUUGUUUAACUACAAAUGAAAUCUAACCUUUUUGCCUCUAAAAAAUGACCAUAUGUGGUCACAUGAUAGAUUUUGGUUAAAAAUGAUUGAAAAUCUAAGUUGGAACUAAAUUUUAUUGUCUUGAUUUUAUAAAGGAUAUAAAGUUACCAUUUUAAAAGUAAACGAUGAAAAAAUUCAUUUGAUAAAUUGUGAGAUACAUUUUGAACAAACUUUCCUAAUUAAAAUGUUAUCUUUAUUAUCAUAUAGGGUUUUCUAACGGGUGACCAAGUGGCACUCAUUAACAAAUCUAUAUUACACCUAACCUAUCAUGUAUAUACACAUACUAACAAUUAUUAACUUCCAUUGCAUUUAUAUACUUUUCAUAAUUAAUUUCCUUGCAUUUAUACGCUUUUUUUAAUUAAUUUUAUAUUUUUAAAAAUUUAAUACUUGAAAUAUAUUUUACCGUUAUCAUUUUUUUUUAUUUUACUGUUAUCAUGUAGACCACGAACAUGAAUCUUGUAAAUCCAUACUUAGUUGAUCAACGAGUAGUAUUAAAGUACUUUGGUUCAUGAUCGAUGAAGACAACUUAAAAUAAAGCAAGCAUGAGGAAUAAAUAGUGAAAUGUCACAAAGUAUGUCGAUCUUGUCUGAAGAUGGUAUGAUAACGUGGGACCGCCGUCCCUCAGGGGACAUCCGAUAAUGUGGACCGCAAUUUUUUCAAAGAAAAGCAAGAUUACGGUUUAGUAAACACCGUUUCGGCGACGGUUCAUUGGUCUGGCCAAGAUCUAAUUGGUUUUACUAUUUAGAUCGGUUUUUUUUUAUCUCUCUUAGAUUGAGGCUUAACUCAACUCAGAAAACUACCCAAUCAACGGUUCAAUCAGCUCGAUCGAAUAGUCUAGACUGAAUUUUAAAAUAUUAGUUUUAUUUAAAGAGUUUGUUAACGGAUGUCUAUUGAAUACUUGUUAAUUUUACCGAUCAUCUCUUGUAUUUUUUAUUUUUCUUAAUUAAUUUUAUAUUUUAAAAAUAUGACAUUUGAAAUAUAUUUUCUGCUAGACUUUUGGCUUGUGGUUUAAAUAUAUGGUAAGUUAGAUGAAUUGUAAGGUUAUAUUUCAACUUCUAAAGGUCCUGUCUUCAAUACCCGGUUAUAAGAUUAUGGCACUUUUAAGCUUCCCAAGAACCAAAAAUAAAAAGAUAGCUGUGCUAUAGUUGAAAUGACGAGUAAAGAAAUUUACCGAUGUUGUCAAUAAUUUAUCGAUGCGAAUACUUAAAGGAACGAAUAAUACUUUUCUUUGGGUAAAACUAUCAACUAUUAUAGAUAAAGCACACAUUACACAUAUCUGUAAAGGGAUGGGUACCAUUUGGCACGUCUUCAAUUCGCCACACAGGUGGCUGAACUCAUCUAUAAAAGGGGUCGAUCUGUGGGCAACUAAAUAUACCCAAAGCAACCUACAAAAACAACCGAGAGAAGAAAACAUGGCUCGCUGUUUUAGAUCACUACUCAUAGCAAUAACAUCCCUGUGGAUGUUAUCUUCAGUACUGAUCAGGUCUUCCGAUGCUGCUGGAAUUGCCACCUACUGGGGCCAACACACCGACGAAGGAAGCCUGGAAGACGCAUGCCGGAGAAAUACCUACGACUACGUGAAUCUUGCCUUUCUGAUAAAUUAUGGCGGUGGCCAGACACCAGAAUUGAACUUAGCUGGGCAUUGUGAGCCAAGCGAUUGCUCCUCGCUUAGUUCUGAGAUAAAAGCUUGCCAGAGCCGAGGCACCCAAGUGCUUCUUUCUCUCGGUGGAGCUCCAAACCUCUCUUCCGCCGAUGAUGCCAAGGAAGUCGCGUCCUAUCUCUAUAAUAAUUUCCUUGGCGGUAAAUCAGAAAAUCGUCCAUUAGGCGAUGCUGUCUUAGACGGAAUAGACUUUCAUAUCCAAGCUGGAAAGAGGGAUUUCUUGGAUGAUCUCGCCAAGGCGCUCUCAGAAUAUAGCACAUCAGAGAGAAGGGUGCACUUAUCUGCAGCACCACAAUGUUUCUAUCCUGACUAUUAUCUCGACGCUGCUAUCAGAACUGGCCUCUUUGAUUAUGUGUGGGUGCAAUUUUACAACAAUCCGCCUUGUCAGUAUAGUAUGGGCAAUGCCAACAACCUCUUCUACAGUUGGAGUUCUCAUUGGGCUUCAUACCCAGGAGUUAAUAAACUAUUCCUGGGAUUACCUGCAUCCCCUGAAGCCGCUCCUAGUGGCGGUUACAUUCCACCUCGGGUGCUUAUUCGCGAAAUUCUUCCCUAUGUCCGGGGCUAUCCCAACUAUGGAGGCGUCAUGCUUUGGAACGCAUUCUAUGACGAGAAUUACAGUCAGGCAAUCAGGCCUUAUAUUAACCCUGAAACGCUGGCUUGCGAUCGCAAGUCCAUGCUAAAGUCCCCAAGCAAUUGCGACAUAAAGAUAAAGUCUUAUGUGACUAAAUAAGUUCCUCUCGUUGUCAUAUGAGAGAUGAAAAAAUGUAAUCAUGGCUGUCUAAGCCAGAGAUAACGUGAAUAAAUAUAACAUGGGUUAUCAAUCCCCAGAGUUUGAUUGUCAAUUCGUGUUUGUUCUUGAUUAUAAUUUAGCACGAACGAUAUCAUUAGUUCUAGUUUCCUCUUAUUCUUCGGGAAAAAAAGGUAUUAAAGAAGAAAAGAACAUGCAAAAAGUGCCAGAUCAAAGUCAAUAUCAUUAGAGAUAUAUGUUCUCCAAAAUCAAUGUGUUCAUACAAGAACCUUUUAUGUUUCGGCACAUCUCUACUGUUGAGAAUAUUUAUGGUUCUGUUUGCUUCCACUCAAUGUUUAUAUUAUAUGUAAAACUAAACUUCCAUCACUUCCAGACUUUAAUGUGAAUUGACGGAGCAGCACAAUUAUCCUGGAAAGUUAUGAAUAAUGCUUUUUUUUUAAUAAUGAAAACAAUGAUGGCCAAAACUUAAGAUUGGUGUAAAAUUCAGUUUAUAGUUUCACAUUAAAAAUUAUAAGGAUGGUAUGAACGCCACCAGGUACUUAUUAUUGUGUUUUAAACUUGAAAAGCACAUUUUUUUUUAUUUGGUUUUUUAUGACACGAUAACUUGAUGAUCCAAUUAUUCAAGUUGCCAAAGAGGGUGGCUAGAAAUAAAAGUCUAAAAUUGAAGAACUAAGUGCACUUUUGAUAUACUUGAAUUUAUUGUUUAUUAUAUGGAAAUAGUUUUUCAAUUUCAAAUGAUUUUGAUAUUUCGAAUGCUUUGGCAAGUUUAUUUGGACAAAGCUGUAGAAGCAGAAUAAGGGAAAGCCUUGGAAUAUAAUGAUGAUGAUGCUAAAAAUGAAGAUGUUAGUGUUUGAUUUGCAAAAGCAUUGGUAAGAAUAGUACUUAUUAUCUAGCUCUUUGGCCUUAUUAGUUUUUAGAUUUUCCUAAUAGUGUCAUUCUACACUUGUUUUUCUUUUUCAAGAUGAAGAAGAUUCAGCUGGUAGAGAAGUCAAGGAAGAGAUUAUAAUUUGUGUUGGCUUUAUUGUAGUACAAUUUAAUUAUUUUUUGGUAAAAUUUUAAUGUCUUUAUUACCAAGCAAUUAUGGAUUGUAAUCUCUCAAAGAAAAGGAAAAAACAAGAGAGAUUAUAUUAUUGAGAAAUUCUAUUAAUAAAGAUAAAGCUGUAGAAUAUGUAUACAAUGAUAAAUUACAACAAGUUACCAUAUUAUACAUUUCCAAUUUUUCAAAAAAAAAAUUUGAGAACAACACAACUACAAUUUUACUAUUUACAAGAUUUCACGACAAGUACUCACUCCCGCACCUUGCGUGGGUUCACCCCUAGUUUCACAAUAUGAGAAUAAGAAGAAAUAUUUACAGCAAAGUUUAGAGACUCUAGAAUACAGGAAUGGGACAGGUACGAUCGACUACAGGUGCAAUUGACGCAGUUGUUAUACCCUUUUCAUGAUUUGAUUUAUACUUACAUAAUUUCGCUGUAUUUUAUGAUUUGGUGUAUACUCACAUAAUUUUUAUUAUAUUUCAUGAUAAAUAAUAAAGUUAUAUGAGUAUAUAUCAAAUUAUAAAAAAGUACAAUAAUCGUGCCAACCACAACUAAUACCACACCGUACUUGUCCUACUGGAAUACUUAGUUAAUAUUCGAGACUGAGACCAUAGAGCAUUAAUCCUUCUCACAUUGUAUCAAACAGAGGUACUGUUUGACAAUUGAAUUUUUUGGGUGUUUGUCCAAAAUUUUACUAUAAGUUAUCGUAAAAUUUGUAAAAAAAAAACUUGUUUGGAUGGUAAAACUUUCUUCCUUUUUUUUAUCUUUUCUUUUUCCUCUCCUCUUGUUUCUCCCCCACCCAACCAUUGCUCUUCCUCCUCCCCUUCUUCCCACUACUAGCCACCAUUGCCGGUACCUUUGUCGGCAAUCGACAACGGUGCCAGUAGACCUAUUUUUUUCUUACUCUCUUUUCUCCCCUUCUCCCCCCCUCUCCUUCCUCCCUUUCCUCCUUUCUUCUCCUUCUUUCCUCCUUCCUACUCCCUCCCUUUGGGAGAUGGAGGACCGGAAGGGGGAGCGGGAUAGGGAGGGAGGAGGAAGGAGAUAGAGGAGAUGAGGAGAGGAAGGAAGAAGGAAGUAGAAGAGGGGAAGAGGAGAGAAGGAGGGGAAAAAAGGGAUGAGGUUGCCAAAGGCGCCGCCAAAGUGCCAACUAGCAGUAGUGGUGAUGGUGGGUUGAGACGUGGGAAGGAGGAAGAAGAAGAAGAAGAAGAAAAGAAAGAAGGAAAAAAUUUUUUUGUGUGUUUUUAGAUAUUUUCAAGUGUGUAUGUUGAAAAGUUCUUGAAGAGUUUUUUUUCAUUUUAUUGUAGUUAAAACUGUUAAAAAAACUUACAAAUGAAAAACUUAACAAAAAACUCGCUAAAUAGGACUAGAGUUUUGAUGGGCUAUGAUGACACAACGGAGGCAGCUCCUCCAUCCAGCCUAAGGAUAACAACAGAUGCAGCUCCUCCAUCCAGCCUAGGGAUAUCUGUAAUCUAAAGAAAGCUCCAGAACAGAGAGGUGGAACCAGAAAUAGUUUCUACUAGGCGCACAAACUGCUCCUAUUGGUUAAUUAGAUUGAGUUACAACUUAGAUCAAUGGCCUAAACCUUAACCACUACAAUCACCGACGCAUUUUUCUUUUCUUUUGCUCCAAAAAAAAGCUUAAAGUUAUAGUAAAAAUUAUUGGUAACAAAUGAAAAUCUAAAUUUAGCUCUAAAGUAGGCUAUAUUAUAGUAAUUGAUCCUCUCCUUAAUUUCACUCUUCCAGUAACUUUGAUAUAUCAUAAAUGAUCAUCCAUUAUUAUAGAUCUUGCUUUCUCCUUUCAAAAAUUUUUAAUUUGGAGCAAACUAUUUGAUUUUUAGUCAAGUUCCUACGUUGCACAACUCUACAUUGUGGAAUCUGUGAUUCGUAGUAUCUUGCCAAAUCUUCUUAAUUUGUUUAGUAUCUUGCACAAUCCAGCUUGGAAAGUUGGACUAGUUUGGGAAGUAAAAGAAAUGGAGUGUUGCUCCUAAUUUUUGGCCAUGAGGAAGAGAUCAACAAUUUGUUCAAUAUUUCUUCUUUUAACAUUAAAAGGAAAUGAAGGAGUGCAACAUAAAAUCUCAUAAAAUUUAGAAUCCUGUGUUUUGAUUGCACCCAAAAAAAGAAGAUGAGGUGGAAUUGUGAACACGAUAGAGACUUAGUAGAAUUAAUCAAAAGAAUUUAUUCUGGGAAUUAAUCAAAAGAAACCAUAAAAUAUUAUAGAAUUCAAUGGCCUAGACAGCAUUUGAUAAAACUGAAAAUUGAUUUCUGAAAUAUAAAGACUGAAAACUAAUUCCUAAGUUCUUAAUUUGCUUAUAUCCAUGAAGUCACAUCUAUUUGAUAAUCAAUUUAAUGCAAGCAUUGAAUUGAAAUAUUUAUUCCAUAUGUAUUUUGUAGUUUUUUUUUUCAACCAAACGUUGUACCAUUAUUCAAGCUGCCCAAGAAUACAAUGCUGGGAGGAAGGCCGCACCCUUACCUCCGAAACGAGAAACGAAAAUUACAAAAAUUCUGCUUAUCCAGUGCCAGUAACCCUCUAGUACGACACAGUAAUUGAGAAGCCCAAUGUAUUUUGUAGUUUAAUCCUAAAUGUGAAAGGUGUGUUUUAUGUUAGAUUAAUUUUUAAAUAUUAUUUUUUUGAUAAAUGUUUGUUUGAAAGAAGAAAAGCAUAGAUUCUACAUGUUUGAAGGGGAGAUUGUAUUUAGAUGUAUUAUAUAGAAGAAAAAAAAUAUAUAUAUAUAUAUUCUAGCGAGAGAGAACGUGUGUGGAUGUGUGAAAAUGUGAUCGAAAGAGAGUGUGUGUAUACUGUGUGAAAGUGUAUUGGUGAGCGCAAUGAUUCUUUUGAGUGAAUAUGAUUAAUACAUAUACUAGUUCAACAAAUUAAGUGAUACAACUUUCGUGUAAAUUUUUGUAUGUAAAUCAAAUGUGUCAUAAAUAUAAGCAAAUUUUAUUAUCAAACAAAUGUAGCAGGAAAGAAGUACUUAAUACAAUAACUUUGCGUACUUAAUGAGGUUAUCAAAUAUCUCCUUAACUCUAGAAAAAUAGUCUAUUAACAAAUUUGUGUUGAACUUAUUAAAUUGAACCAUGAAAUUUUUCCCAAGACCUCCAUUUAAUAGUGGGAUUUGUGUUGCAACAUGGUGAGGAUAUUGGACAGGUAACUAUGAGGUCGUAGUCAAACUUUCAAGAGAGAAGGAAAUGGUAAAAGAGCUCUUUACUUGGCUUUAAAUGCUGUAUCUUUAACGGGUAGGGUUUUUUUGGGAAGGGUUCCAAAAACAAUCAACGAAGGCUAGUGGCAAAUCAGCACGGAAAGAAGAUAAACCGAGAUUUCGGCGGCAGCUGGCAUACUUUCUUUCCUGAUUGCGAAACACCAUGUCGAAGCUAGGGUAUUUUAUCCAACCAGCCUAGAUUAGAAUUUCAAGACGUACGGCUUCUUCGAGUAAAGAAAGUUCAGCCACGAACACUCCUUUCACGACCUAUUCAGAACUAAGUACACCUUAGAACAGAAGUGCUCGUUAACUAGAUUCCCUUCUUAUUUCAAAAUCAAUACUGAUGGGUCCUCGAUCCAUGGGGAACUCGGGUCCAGCUGGAUCAGGUGACUUGAAUAGAAAUCACCUAGGACACUAGGUAGCGGCCUUUAGCAAAAAAUUAGGACCCAUUACCAAUAUCCUUGCUCAGUUGUGGGGGACAAGAGAUGGGGUAUCCUUAGCUUCCUCUCUCACUUGCAAAAUAUUGAAUUAGAAGUUAAUGCUAAAACUGCUCUAGAUUUGAUUAAAUCUGUUGAUACCUCAACUCAUGAGUAUGAUUCAAUUAUUUCUAAUUGGCAGGUUCCUGAUCUCUGUUCUGUCGAAAGUUAUACUUAGAUAUACUUAUCGAAAGUUAAUCAGUAUGAAGAUAGAUUAACGAAAUUAGGUGCUCAGCAAGACACGAUUUUUGUAUGUUAUGAAAGUGUCCCUCCUAAUUUAAAAAUCUAGUAGAUGCAGAUAUUAAGGGAAUUUGUCACUUUGUGCCUAUAACUUAAUAGUCCCUUUGUUACAAACAAAAAAAAAAAAAGAAAGAAAGAAAGAAAGAAGGUUCAGCGACUGGCAUUUGUUCAAUAUGAAUCAUAUUACAAAAAAGGGGUUCAUGAAACAUGCAACACCACACUGCAGAAGUGGUAGGCGCCGCAUCUAUCGAUGAUGAUUGAGACCAAACUUGAUGAGAAGAUUCUAAAACAGGUGUCUCAAGAAAGCUGUAAUAGAAAAACAUGUCAACGUAAUCAGGAUUUCCAUCGUAGAAUUUAGCAAACCGCAUAUACCCUAGAUCCUGAAAUCCUUGGUGCAACUGACUCAUCAUUAACAGAGCUAUGUUUGAAAAGAUGUCAGUUUCUGCAAGAGCAUGAACCUCAAAAGAAUUUGAAGAAAUUGUCACUGGUGGAGAUAGGUAUCAAGGAUGAAUUUUGCAGUUAACUUGGUGCAAAAGUACAGGAAUCUCGUGACUCUGAAAACAAGAAUCAGGACGGGUUUGAAACUAUCAAUUUGAAAAGAGAAAACACAUUCAAGAGGCAAUAUUUUAAGUUGUUUAACGAAUAAAAAUGUUGAAAAGUAUAUUAAUAGAAACUUGUAAAAAUGAAAACUUACAUGAACGCAACUGUGGCCUAUACAUUUUUUUGCCUGUGACAACAUUUUUCCUUCUUUAUAUUUUUUUAACUUUAGUGCUGUCAAUUCAAUUUAAAGUAUCUUUCAUUUCAGCAUACCUGUCCAUUGAUAGUCUCAUACUUUAUGAAUUACUUUGUUUUUUUUUGAGCACUUCAUGAAAAACUUUGUCAUGUUAUGACCCAAUAAUUUGUCCAUAACCUGUGAUCGACUUUUUUCUGAGCACUUGAUGAAAAACUUUGUCGUGUAUUGUUCUAACAAUGUGUUUUCUAACAAUUUUGUCCAUAACCUUUGACUCAAUUUACUCGCAACCUAAUGAAUACACAAGCACCCUACUCCCGCACAAUUGGACGGGCUUAAUUCUCUAGUCUUUUUUUUUUUUUUUCUCUUUUGAUAAAAACAUCAUCAUUUUGUUGAAUCUGUAGUAGUGGGAGAAAUUACAUCAAUGAUAUAUAGAUAUAGAUUUGAAGAACAAAUGCUAGAUGUUGUAGAUCUGAAUAAUCAAAAGCGUCUUUAUUGUGGAACUCAAAAAACAUCAAAUGAUAUCUGCGCAUACUUCCACCGAUACCAUUUACUUUCUCCUAAAUAUGCUCAUGAACUGAUUCAAGCCUGGAUGCUUAGAUGAGAUCUGAAGAGAUAGAUUUAAGAAAUCUCAAAUCUGGCAACUAAGUCUUAAAAAAAAUUAGAUCUAACACUAGAAAUAGAAAAACUACAAAAAGUCCACUAAGAAUCCACAAAAUCACCAACAUCAUCUUUACUGCAGCCAUCGUCGACCAUUCGAUCUUCAAUUUUACUUCCCUUCGAUCAACUUUUUUUCAUCAGAUUUCAUCAUAUCAUCAACCUUAUUUCAUCAAAUUUAAAUUUCACAAUCCUAAAAAGGAUAAACCAAAACAUCAAAAAGAGCCCAAUCUUGCAAAAUUUUAACCUUGCACACCACUGAAUUAAGCCCUCUUUUGCAAAAUUUCUUUUUCAUAAAAAUUUGUGAGAAUUAAUGUGUGCAACCUAUGAAUGUUUGGAUUUUUUUAGAUUAUUAGUCUUCUUGAAUUUGUCCCCUCCUUAAUUUAUUUAGUCAUUUGUAUGCAAUUUUGUAAUCAUAUAUUCUUUUUACGUGAGGAAGACUGAUUUUGGAUGAAUUUUCUAUUGACUCAAUAUCAAAUUUGCCAUAGCAUGUUGGAAAAAUGCCUAAACUAAAUUCAUGGUUGUUCAUUGUUUCUUUCUUCUUCUCUUUUUGUUUUUUUUUGGUGUAGCUAGAUAUUGAAAGGGUUGAAGAAAGGGGAAGGAAAAUUUAGUAUUGAAUUUGAGUCUUUGCACUUGCAAUUAAUUUGUAGGUGUUCUUGGUUUCUUACAGUUGAUGACGGAUUAUUACUGACGAGUUCCAUGUGAACUAUCUUCAAUUACAAAUAGAAAUAAACCGGAAAUAUUUCUUAGAAUGGUACCCUAAGAUAAUGAUUAUGAAAUCAAUAAUCAUCGCAAGUGGAUUGUCAUAAUUAAAUAUGUAAAGAUAUAUAAUACUGCAGCCGGUUUGUUUGUGAUGGCUAAUCUUUUCCUAUGUGCUCCAUUUAGUGAAACUUCAUCUAUCUUGAUCACGUGAACCACGUACAAUCAUAUGUACAACCAGUUAAUUUAUUUGGGUCCUUGCAAGUAAAUUUUCAAUUCAGAUUUAUUGUUUGCUUCGGGAUAGAUUUAACUUACCAAAAAAGAAAAAGUAAAUUUCAGCAGCAAAGCCUUCAAGUAAUUUUGAAGUGGGAAAAUCAUUUAAAAGUCCCUCACAUUUCACUAAAUAAAAAUUUUUUUAUCCUUCACUUUAAAAUAAUAACUUUACGUUUCUUAUAAAAUCAAGUCAGUAAAAUUUAGUUCAACUUAAGUUUUUUACUACUUUUUACCCUGAAUUCAUCACAUAAUCCAAAUAUGGUCAUUUUUUUGGGACAAAAAGGUUAAAUCUCAUUUGUAGUCAAACAAAUGAUUUGAUCCAUAACUAUUUUGACACUAAAGAGUAGGAUCUGAUCUAAAUCAUAUUUAUUUUUCUCUUGAAAAGUGGGAUCUAAUUUAAUUCAUAUUCAUUUUUAUCCUAAAAAAGUGAAAUUUGACUUUUUUGUAUAUAAAAUAAUUUCAUGGGAGUCACAUGGUGAUUUCAAGUUAAAAAGUGGUAAAAAAAAACUUAGAUUCGAACCAAAUUUUGUUAACUUGAAUUUAUAAGGAACCUAAAACUAAUAUUUUAAAAGAAAAACGAAAAAAUUCAUUUGACAAAAUAUACGAGACAUUUUGAAAGAUUUUCCCUUCUGAAGUUGUCUUUUGAAUAUUACCUAUCCUUUGAUUUCCUAUUGUACUCCCUUUCAGUGAUUUAUUGGGAGCUCCUCUUUGGAAAUGUUCCUCACAAUGGGAUCUCAACGUUAUUUGAAAACAUGAAAAUUGCAAAGACAAGUUGGUCAUAAGCCGAUGACAUUAGCCUUAUUUGGAUUACAAGUUUUCACAGAAAAAUUUUAAAAUAUUUCUUGACAUAUUUUUUAAUCACAUUUUUAUCUUAUAUAUGUCAUAUUUAUUAUUAUAAUAUUUUUUUUUUAUAAAAUGCUAUAAACUUAUAUACAUCCUAUUAUCUUAUGUAUGUCAUAUUACUAUAGUAUAUUUUCAACGAGACUGUGAACUUACAAUUCAAACUGUAACUUUCAUUUUAGUGCGUCCCUUCUAAGUGAUUUUAGUGCGUUCACUUCAAUUCAUGCACGUGAAGGGGAAGGACUGGUCCAGAAUUCUGUAGAAGGACAAUAAUUUGGGUAAGGACUGGAAAAUUCAAUUGAAACAAGACAAGAAUGUCGCAUUCGAAGUGCGAUAAUUUUGGUGUCAAUCAACGUCACUAUUAAAAGAAGAUAAGAUUGUUGAUAAAUCCAUACAUCAAAUCCGUAUCCAAUAUCUUUACUCGAAAAUUGUGCUCCCGCAAGAAAGUACAAGUAAACUCUUAUAUUCAUCAAAUAUGAUGUGGCCGACAGAAAAGUUCAGGCUAAGAUGCUCUUAUACUUGAGUGAAGGGAGAAGGUUGAUUUAAAUUAUUACUGUCAAAGAAAUUCAUUUAACUAAAUUUAUCUAUAUUCGCUCAUAAAUAAAUGAGUAUGUGUAUAUUAAAUUUUUACAUAUGGAUAUAAAUGAAUAUUAUUAGAUAACCCAUCAAACUUAAUUAAUCCAUUUAAAAUUGUCUUCUCCCAAACUUUCUCUCUUCCUCCACCCUUUUUUUAAAUUUUUUUUUCAUUUUGUCAUGAUGUUAACUACUUUUGUUUCAUUAUUAUUAUUAUUAUUUGUUAGUUUUAUCUUAUCAUUUUAUUUUCUUUUAAUUUAUUAACUUGCUCAUUUUUCAAUAUUACCAAUUUAUGACAAGUUUUAAAUUCUUUUCUUAUUUUUCCAAAAUAAAAUUUUAAAUUUACACACAAAAAAAUGCUAGGGUUCAAAACUUUUGGAUUAAUUUUUUAUGUUAACUUUUAUAAUAUUUAGUUCAAAUUUUUAUAUUCUUAUUGUUUAAUUAUGAAAUAGUAUGUAAUUUUGCGACAUAGAGUACGGAUGGGAAAAAAAUUGAUAAUUAGGCUUAUUGAACAUUAUAAGUAAAUAUUUAAAACUAAUGAUGGGUGCAAAGAAUGGUAUAAAUUGAUAACUUAGUUUGCAAAAAUGAAUUUACAAAAAGUUAAAAAUAAAUGGGUUAUAAAUGGGUAAUUGGGUUACCCAAUUUAUUUUUUGACUUAUCCAUUUAUAUCCAUCUAAUUAAAUGGGUAUAAAUAAGUUGACUCACUUAUAUCCAUUACCCAUUUUACCCAAUCCAAACGCCCAAAUCAUCCAUUUUGACACCUCUAAUUUAAACCUAUUCAUCAUCAAUUUUGAUUUACAUAUUCUAAUAUGUUGCCACAAAAAAAUCAGGGACAGGGAAAAUUAUUUUAAAAUAUAUAAAAAUAUGUGAAAAGAGAAAGAGAAUAAAUAUACAAUAUAACUGAAAUAAUUUUAUAAACUAAACUCAACAAUAAGACUCACAAACAACAAUUUUAGAAGCUUUCUCUCAUUAUCCACAACUUAACUCUCUCUUCAAGAAAACAAUGAAAUGGUACUACUCAAUUUAUAGAGUAUCCAACGGACUCUAGUCACAAAGGAAUAGGACAAUGGACAAAUAUAUAUAUAUAUAUAUAUAUUGCAAUUCUGAACCGACGACAGUAUUCCUCUCCAAAAUGAUAAAUGUAACUUGCUAAGCUUUAAUGACCAGACACAUCAACUUCUAAAUUCUUCAACUCACUAGACCAAGAAAAAGAAGUUGCCACAUAACUAAUUUAUUCUAAUAAUUAGUCUUGGUUUAAUUAUCUACACAACCAUUGGUCAUCUUUCUUGGGCAAUUACAUAAUCAAUCCAACCUUGCUACUUGUCAGCCUUGAAGGACAGCGCUUGGAAAUUAAUUAACAGCUUAUCAUAUGCGCUACAAAAUGCAGAAGUUUAAUCUAUAGAUUUAUCUGUAGACCUUGUAAUCAAUUGGUGAGUCACAUUGAUUAAGUGAUGUAUGUUUACUUUUUCGUCCCAUUUAUUUAGUCAUGUUUGACAAAUCUAGCUUUUAAAAAUAGUGAUUUGAUUGUGAUGUUUGUACUUUUUUUUCAAUUUUACUCUCACAAAUUUAAAUUUUAAAUUUGAAUGGUAACAUGAAUAUAAUUAAAAAGAAAGGCUAUAUUUAAAAGGGAGAUUAAAAGGUACUUUGAUUUUUUUUACAUGAUAUUUUUGGAAUAUUCUAAAAUGAAAAAUACAGCAAUUUUAAUGAGACGGAAGAAGUAUAUUAUUAGUAUUAGAUUAUAAAAAAAAUUGAUGUGACUAUAGAGUCCAAAAAUAUCUUUCAAACCCAUUCAGGCUAGGUAAGGAUACGCCAAGAACGAAAUACGGGAAGAUAACAGGUGCAUGGUUGGGACUUGGGAGGAUGAGUAGAAAGGAUGUACUCCUGUUUUUAUUUGUCCAUUCUGUAUCGACGUGGAGACUUGGAGCCGCGAGUUUAGAAAUUAGUGACUUUCAUAGCUAAGGACAGGUUAGGUCAGUACAAUAAUUGCCCCAUCCAUUAUUGCGCAUUAAAAGGGACCCAUUUCUCAUUAUCGGACUCGGAUGUUUGCCUUUAAGUUGCUGGGCACUUAUCUUAAAGGAAUAUUCUUUUUACCUUUUACUGCGUUACAUGCCAAACGAUAGCUAUUAUUAUUAGAACUGCAUAGUUUGUGGGGAUAAUUGCAGAAACCUCCCCUGAGGUUUCUGACAUUUUCACUGACCUCCCCUAUGGUUUGAAAAAUUACACUGACCUCCCCUGAGGUUACUAAUCCUUUGCAAAUUUAGUCCAAACGAUUAAAAUAUUAUUAUUUUAGGGAGUGAAAUUAGAAUUUUGUACUAGAUUUGCCCUUUGUACUACAUGUCCAAUGAAUGACAAAGUAUUAUAAAUCAAUUAACAAUUAAUAAACUUUAAGGAGUAUAACUUAUGGGCAAACACGCAUUACUCAUUUAAAGUACCGGCUCUUUACGGGUAUUUUACUUUCAAACAUUUAAUUUAUGAUAAAUAUAUCAAUAUUUAUACGUAAAAUUCAAAAAGUGUUACAGUAAUAUUCUUGCAAAAAGGAAAUUGGUAGGUUAUUGAUUUAAUAUAAAUUAAAUAUUUUUUUUUAAAAAAGAAAUGGCCCAUAAAGUAUUAAUUCUUUAUGACUUUCAUACAUUACAUAAGUAAAGUAUUCGCUCUUUAUGUGCAUUUUAUUCUGAAUCAUUUAAUUUAUGUUAAAUACAUAAAUGUUUGUAACUAAAAUUGAAAAAGUGUUAUAUUAAUAUUUUUACAGAAAAGAGAUUGGUAGGUUUUGUAUUUAACAAAAAUUAAAUAUUUGAAAGUAAAUACAAAUCUGUAUUUGAGCGUAAAUAUUUGUAUUAAAUUAAAUGUUUGAAAGUAAAAUACCCGUAAAGAGCCGGUACUUUAAAUAGUUACCGGCUCUUUAUGGGCAAACACGCAUUAUUUAUUUAAAGUGCCGGCUCUUUACGGAUAUUUUACUUUCAAAUAUUUAAUUUAUAAUAAAUAUAUCAAUGUUUGUAAGUAAAAUUUAAAAAGUGUUACAGUAAUAUUCUUGCAAAAAGGAAAUCAGUAGGUUAUUUAUUUAGUAUAAAUUAAAUAUUUUUUUCAAAAAAAGAAAUGAUUCAUAAAGUAUUAAUUCUUUAUGGCUUUCAUCCAUUACAUGAGUAAAAUAUUGGCUCUUUAUGGGUAUUUUAUUCUGAAUCAUUUAAUUUAUGUUAAAUACAUAAAUAUUUGUAACUAAAAUUGAAAAAGUGUUAUAUUAAUAUUUUUACGGAAGAGAGAUUGGUAGUUUUUGUAUUUAACAAAAAUUAAAUAUUUGAAAGUAAAUACAAAUCUGUAUUUGAGCGUAAAUAUUUGUAUUAAAUUAAAUAUUUUAAAGUAAAAUACCCGUAAAGAGCCGGUACUUUAAAUAGAUAAUGCUUAUUUGCCUAUAAACUAUACUCCUUAAAGUUUAUUAAUUGUUAAUUGAUUUGUAGUAUUUUGUCAUUCAUUGGACAUGUAGUACAAAGGACAAAUUUGGUACAAAAUUUUAAUUUCACUCCUUAAAACAAUAUUUUAAUCGUUUGGACUGAAUUUGCAAAUGAUUAGUAACCUCAGGGGAGGUCAGUGUAAUUUUUCAAACUACAGGGGAGGUCAGUGCAAAUGUCAGAAACCUCAAGGGAGGUUUCUGCAAUUAUCCCUAGUUUGUGUGAAGAGUGAGAGUCAGAGUAUUAUUCGCGCCUUGAGGUGUUGUGUUUCACGUUUCUAUGUUACACGAAUUUUAUGACUCAUCAGAGAGACAUUCUAUCCUGUUCGGAAAAAAAACAAAAAAAAAGAGAGACAUUCUAAAAUUUGGAUUUUUAUUCAUUAUUGCAUCGGAGUCAGAACCUUGUGAUAAGGGGUGCAAUGGUCAACUUCAGUAUAAAUCAUACUCUUAGAUUUAUAUAAUAAAUAUACGAGUAAAUCUUAUAUACACUGACAGUGUAUACACUAUCACCAUUGGAUUUAUGAUAUAUGUGUAAAAGUUGAAUUUUAAAUUCAAAACUUAUAUAUUUGUCAUUUAUUCAUCGUUGAUAAUGUAUACACUGUCAGUAUAGAAAAGAUUAAUCCUAAAUAUACAGUAUGCUUUUGAUUUAAAAAGUGAAAUCUUUUUUUCCCAUUAAUGUUUAAUUUGAAAUAAAUCCUAAAUUUUUUUUAGAGGUAAUCAAUAGAAAGUAUUUUUUGGAGUCAAUGUAGAAUAAGUGAGGAAUAUAUAAAGCUUCAAAAGAUAACCUAUAUAAAGAAGGGAAUUUUCUUAAAUUUGACGGGAGCAAUACAACUGAAAGAGAGAAUUUUAUAAAAUUCAAGGGUGCAACACAUGGUAUAAACUUAAUAAUCUUGAAAAAUUUGAAGGCCAUUGUACAAUUUUAUCAAAAUUGAGGGGGCCGGGGAGGGAGGGAGGGCAAUUGUCCACUCCACAAUCCUAUGUGGCUCUGCCACUGGAAUACUUAUCAAUCGAAUAGAUAGUAUGAUAGACCGCCAGCCUUUGGCCAGUGGCCACCACCUAGCUUGGUGGGGUGGGAGGCAAGGCAAAAUGCCACAUUUAAGUGGUUUGCUUCAAAAAAUUCAGACGGGUGUGUUGUGCACCCGUUUGAUUCGGUGGUGGUUCAGUCCCCUUCGGGUUAUUCUUGGGCCUCCUUAGGUCCGCCCCCUCCCCCUUAGUGUAGAAUAGAUUAGGUUAUACAACAGUUGUCGUUUCCGAAAAAAAAAAAAAAAAUAGAUAGUAUGAUAAGAUUUUAACAGCAAAAAUUGUUAAAAAAAAGGGAUUCUUUGCCGUACUAUUCGACCCAUAAUCCGAGGGGGUAAGGUGGGAUCAACUCCAUGGCACAGAGAGGCAAAGUGCCAUUCAUCGCCUAAUAGAUAAAUCCUUCUCUCAGUUAAAAGCCACAUUGGUUUGCAUCUAUCAAUUUGAAAAAAAAAAAACUAAUUUAAGAGGCAAUAUUUUAAGUUAUUUAAGGAAUAAAAAUGUUGAAAAAGCAUAUUAAUAGAAAACUUGUCAAAAUGGAAACUUACAUGAACUCAACUUUGGUCUACAAUAUUUUUUUUUGUUUUUACAAUUCUUUUCUUAAUAUUCUUUUUAACUUUAGUGCUGUCAAUUUACUUCAUGGCCCAAAGGCAAAAAAAAAAACAAAGACUAGUGAUUGACACACGAACAAUCUUUAAUGCAAAUUUCAAACUCAUUAAGAAAUGAGAGUGUGAAAUUAUCAGAUUGGAUUUCAGUGAAAUGGGGAUUUUAAACAUUCAACGCGAAGCAUCUAAGCUGGAUCGCGGGCUGGAUGACAUUGAAAUUGUGGUGAAGAUAAGUUUUCAAAGUCUCUUUCAUUUCAGCAUACUUUAUGAAUAAACUUUUUUCUUGAGCACUUUAUGAAAAGAAUAUUUUACUCAGUUUACUCACUAACUAAUGAUUACACAAGCACUCAACUUCCGCACAUUUGCACGGGCUUAAUCUUGUAUUAUUAUUAUUUUUUUUAUAAUAAUAAUAAUAAUAUUAUUAUUUACUUCUUCCCGAAUGUGCUAAUGAGCUGGUUUAAACCUAAAUGGUAAGGUGAAAUCUGAGGUGAUAGAUUUAAAAAUUUUCAAAUUUGGCAAUCAAAUUUGAAAAACGAAAAAAAAGAUCUAACACAAGAAAUAGAAAACUACAAAAAGUCUCACUAGAAAUCCCGCAAAAUCACCAUCGUCAUCUUUACAGCAGCCAUCGUCAACCAUUCGAUCUUCAAAUUUACUGUCUUUGGAACAAAUUUUUUUCAUUAGAUUUCAUCAUAGAGCCCAAUCUUGCAGUUCACUGUGCCAGCACUGAAGUAAGCCCUCUUUUCCAAAUUUUUUUUUUGUAACUUGAAAUUUGUGUGAAUUAAUAUGCGCAUCCUAUGGAUGUUUGGAUCUUUCAUUUUAUUAGUCUCCUUGAAUUUGUUGUCCCUUUGGUCAUUCGUAUGCAAUUUUUUAAUCACAUAUUCUGUUUACCUGAGGAAGUCUGAAUUGUGAUGAAUUUUGUAUUGAUUCAACAUCAAAUUUGAUUAAAGGAAAAAGGAAACUGGCCUACGAUCAUAGCAUGUAAGCAUGAUGGAAAAAUGCCUAAACAAAAUACAUUGUUGUUCACUGUUUUGUUUUCUUUGGUGUAAUUGGAUAUUGAAAGGGUUGAAGAAAGGGGAAGGAAAAUUUAGGAUUGAAUUGGGGUGUUUGCACUUGCAAUUGAUCUGUAGGUGCUUUUGUUUUCUUACAGUUGAUCAUGACGGAUUAAUUUUUUUUUUGGUAUUAACCACAGGUGUCCGCAUCCGUUUUACGGUCUACGACUAAUUCUGUUCUAGUCACGUUGGACCCUUUGUAGGGGGAAUCUCUCCCAACGUUGUUUUUUCCAUCCUCAUAGAUUUCGAACCCGAGACCUCAUGGUUAAGGGAUGCAAGCCCCUUCCACUUACACCAACAUUCGUUGGUGACGGAUUAUUACUGACGAGUUCCAUGGGAAUUAUCUUCAGUUACAAAUAGAAAUAAACGGGAAGUGCUUCAUAGGAUGGUAUCUUGAGACAGUGAUUGGGAAAUCAGUAACCAUCGCAAGUGGAUUGUCAAAAUUAAAGAUGUAAAAGACAUAUACGACUGCAGCUGGAUUGUGAUGGCUAAUCUUAUCCUAUGUAGUGAAACUUCUUGAUCUCGCGAAACAUGUACAAUCAUAUGUACAACCAGUUAAUUUAUUUGGGUCCUUGCAAGUAAAUUUUCACUUCAGAUUUAUUGUAGUGAUUGUAACAUAUAUUUUGUGGCUUUGGAACAGAUUUAACUUACCCAAAAAAAAAAAAAAAUUAAAUCUCCACUGCAAAGCCUUAGAGUAAUUUUGAAGUUCAGUCUAUUGAACACUGCCUAUCCUUUGCUUUCCUAUUGUACUCCUUUUGAGUGAUUUAUUUAGAGCUUCUAUUUGGAAAUGUUCAAACCUGACAAUAAGCUCUCAGUGUUAUUUCCAUGAAAACUGCAAAGAGAAGUUGAUCAUGCAAAAAACUACUGUAGCUGACAAGAUUGGCGUUAUUUGGAUUGUCGGUUUUCACUUAAAAAUUUUGAAAUAUUUUUUCAAUAUAUUUUUCAAUCACUUUUUUAUCUCACAUAUAUCAUAUUAUUAUAAUAUAUAUAUUUUUUAACGAAACUCUAUAAACUUACAAUUCAAACUGUAACUUUUCAUUGUAGUGCGUCCUUCAAAGUGACUUUCGUUUUAGUCCGUCCAUUUUAAGUGAUUUUAGUGCGUCCACCUCAAUUCAUGCACAGGAAGGACUGGUCCCAGAAUUCUGUAGCAGGACAAUGAUUUAGGGUGGCCUGGAAAAUUCUAUGGAAACAAGGCAAGAAUGUCACCUUUGGGGUGUCCAAUAAUAAUGUUAGUGUCAAUCAACCUCACUAUUAAAAGAAGAAAAGAUUGUUGAUAAAUCCAUACAUCAAAUCCGUAUUCAAUAUCUUUACUCGAAAGUUGUGCUCCCAAGAAAGUACGAGUAAACUCUUAUUCAUCAAUUUGCAUAAACAAUAGGGUUAAUCACAUUUUAUCCCCUUAAAGAAUGCCCAAAUUUUCAAUUUACCCCCUAACCUUUAAUUUUGCUCACUUAACUCCCUUUAGGACAAAAUUGCCCUUGUAUUAUUUUGACUUUUCAUUUACCUUAUUUUCCUUUCUUUUAUUUCUUUCUCUCUUUCUUCUUUAUUUAAUUCUUCUUCUUUCCCACAAAAAUCUUCACCUUAAUGAUUGAAAUUAAAAAAGAGGAAUUGCAGAUAUCUAUCUUCUCCUUAAAUGAUUAAAAAAAUAUUCAAAUCACUUUCCUAAAAUAUAAUUUUUUUAGCCUUUCAAUUCUUUUACUUUUGGGUUUUCCUCUUUCCUUUCUAGUUUCUCAUUUUAUUCCCAAGAAAAUAUCUUAAGAUGAAAUUGUGAUCUGAUUAAUAAACAUGAAUGAAGGGAGAAGGUUGAUUGAGGCCCUAUUCAUCCUCAAAUUUGAUUACAUAUUCCAAUCUAUUGCCACAAAAAAAAAAAAAUCAUGCUCAGCAAAAAUUAUUUUAAAAUAUAGGAAUAUAUGUGAAAUAUAACUUAAUCGUUUUAUUAACUAAACUCAACAAUAAUGCUUACAAAUAACAAGUUUAGAAGUUUUCUCUCAAUGUCCACAACUUACCUCUCUCUUCAAGAAAACAAUGAAACGGUAUAGAGUAUCCAACCGACUCUAGUCUCAAAGGAAUAGGAAACUAACAAUUGGCAGAAAAAUUUUUAAUUCUGAACCGACUAGGAGUAUCUCUCUCCCAACAUGAUAAAUGUAAAUAACUUGCUGAACUUUAAUAACCGGGACCUUAGGAAAUAUUUCUUUUCCACAUCAACUUCUAAAUUCUUCCACUCACUAAACCAACAAAUAAAAAAACUUGCCACAUAAGUAAUUUAAUUUAAUAAUUAGGCUUGGUUUAAUUAUCUACACAACCAUUUGUCGGAUUUCUUGGGCAAUUACGUAAUCAAUCCAACCUUGCUAACUGUCAGCGUAGAAGGACCUUAGAAAUUAAAUAACAGCUUAUCAUGCACUGCAUAAAAUAGGUUUAUCUGUAGAGCUCGAGCUCGUAAUCAAUUUGUGAGUCACACUGAUCAAUUUGUGGGUCUUAAAGGUUAGAAGUUAAGAGGUUAUUCUGGCGAGAUUUGGAUUUGGGAAUUUUUUUAAUUUGUUUUCUUGCCUCCCAAAGAUCUUAUUCUCCUUCAUUUCUUUGUUUGUUAUUACUUUUUUUUUUAAUGAGUUUUAAGAAGUUAUGGUGAUAGUGGGGGAUGAUGAUAGUGGUGAUGGGAUGAUCAAGAGGUUGGUGUUGAUAGUGUGAGAUUUGGGUAUGGAUUAUGACUUGAUUUCUAUUUCUGUUUGAUGAAUUUUUAGAUAUUAAUUUAUGCUUUUUGAAAGGGAUUUUUGUUUGAGGAAUAUUUGUAGGGUUUAGAAAUUUGACUAUAUUCAGAAGAUGAAAAUAAAGGAAGGGUAUUUUUGGAGGUUUGGUAAAAUUUUGAGGGUUAACAAGUAUAAUCACUCUCUCUUUUUUUAUCAGAUUUAAUUUAAUUUGUAAAUUGUGCAAAAAAUUAGAAGUUGAAGGUAAUGGACUGCUAAAUUUAAAGUUUGGAAUGCAAGUUCCAAUUGCGAAAUUGUUGAGGGGUGCAACUUACAAUUAACCCUAUUUCUAUUUUAUUUUAUAUUAUACAACUUGUUAAAGGGACAACUGUAGUAUUAAGAGAAAUAUUUUAAAGGGAUAAUUUCAUAAACCUCCCCUGAGGUUUUUGAUAAUUUUAUGUGGCUCCCUUAAGGUUUCAAAAUUUACAUCUACCCCCUUACCCAUUUAAAAUGACAAUACUAACCUUAAUAUUUUAAUAAAACUCUCUUGCUUCCAUGUUUAUAAAAAGGAUGGAUUUUAUAAUUUUUAUAAUUUAUGAAAAGAGGUAAAACGGGAUGAACCCCAUGGUUCAGGGGAACAAAGUGCCAUUCAUCCGCUAAUAGAUAAAUCCUUCUCUUUCUUCCUUAAAAGCCAUGUUGAUUCAGUGACAGGGCGUCAACUAAUUAAAAAUAAAUAACUACUCCAGAAAAUACGAACUUGUUUGCAGCAAUGAGUAGGAUUGUCUCCACAAGAUAGAGUUGAUUUAUUUUCUUCCAAAGCAAUGAAUAAAAAGGGGGAUUUUGGAGAAUUAAACUAACUAAUUAACUUAAACACAAAUAAACAUGCAAAGAAAAUUAACUAAGAAUAAACCAAUAAUAAUAGAGUUCUAGCCAAAGGAAUAAUCUUAGGAUUGGUUCCUAUAAUUGAUCACUAAAGCAAAGAUGAAUUCAAAUAUUAGUGAACAAAUAGGUUAUAAUUAUCAUUAAACUUUGGCAAUCAAUCUUUCCUUACUUUAUCGAUAAUCAGAGUAUGGCCACUAACUACUUCUCUAACUAAAAGAUAAUCCUAGGUACAACCAUAGAAUUAAAUCUUUUAUCAGCAUCAAGAAUUAAAAAAGCCUAAUUCGAAUCAACAAACAUGUUGCGAGAGUUCAUUUAAAUUAUAUCAUAUAUUUUCCUGAUAUAGAUCCAAUUAUGCUAGUCAACACAAAUAUUAAAACAGACAAACAAUUACGAAUUUAAUUGUUUCAAUUGGCAGCAGACUAUUGUAAAUAAUUAAAUAUUGGCCACUUAUUUAAUUACACACAAUAAUCAUCAUACAUGUAAUACAGGAAGUAUAAAAAUACCCACGAAUAGAUGAAACAGUAAACUUAAAUUAGAUAUCAUAAUUGUUUGUAGAACCAAGGCUUCGAUUAUCCUCUAACUAGAAAGAAAAUUUAGCCACUUCUUAUGGAGAAAAUGCAGCGGAGAAAACUAGGUUUUUGUCUUGAGAGAAGAAAAAAGAAAACCACCUAACUACGAUGACAAAGUGUAGAGAGAGUUUGGGAAUUAAAUAUCGAUAUUCUCGCCCUAACAAUCUAUAUGAUAAUCUCCUAAAAAUUAUUCCAAUAAAAGGAAUUAUCUUCCAUACUGGAAUAAUCUAUUUUCGUAGAUAAUGAUAUAAUAAUAUCCUUACUAACUAGUUGCCAUCCAAAAAUAAAAAGUUUUCAAGGCUGCAGAGAAAUCAAUCAAUUAUUCUCUUUAAUUGUUGAAAUUAAUCUCAGGUCCCACAACUUCUGAAUUUCCUAGGCUCUUUAAGACGCGCCCAUACUUUAUAGCAAAUAGACUUUUCAGCAACUCUUUUUAGUCCUCUUUCAUCCCAAAUUCUUAUGACAUCACUAAAACACAAAAUAUAAGUAAAAUCCACAAAAUAACACAAUAAUCUACUAAAAUGAAAGGAGAAUCGACACAAACUAUAUCUCGAUUAGGCACACAAUCAUUUAGUGACACAUGAUGAUGUAAGUAAUAUUACAUUAUUAUGAUGAUAUAUGUGGCUCUUGAGUAUGCACCACAUCGUCCAUGAGUGGUUCCGAAAAUCAAGUUUUUAAGAAGGUUUUAAAGCUGGAAAUCUUACUGGGUCAUAGGUUAUUGGUUCAAUCGUUAGAUUAAAUGUUACCAAGUCAUUGUUACUCUGUGACACCAUAUAUAUCAUAAAUAAUUAAUGUGAAAAAUCAUUCAAUACGUCCCUUAUAUUUUAUUAAAUGGUUUUUUUGUUUCUUCACUUUUAAAAUGUUAGUUUUACAUCUAUUACAAAUUCAAGUUAGUAAAAUUUGGUCCCAAUCUAAAUUUUUGACUACUUUUUAGCCUAAGAUCGCCAUGUGACCUAUAUGCAAUUAUUUUUUAUGUAAAAAAAAAUGUCAAAUACCACUUUUGUAGUGAUAAAAAUAAAUAUGGAUCGGGUCAAAUUCCAUUUUUGUUUUAAAAAAUGAAUAUGGAUCGAAUAAUUUAUUUAACUACAAAUGGGAUGUAACAUUGUUUAAUUCUAACAAUUGUUAAGUGGAUAGGAACACGAAUAGUAAUAAAUUUUGGAUUUUGUAAACAAUUUAGAGCUAAAUUAUAAUUUUUUAAAGGUGAAAUGAUAGAAACUUAAAUAUGAGGUAACAUUGAAAUCUAAAAGUAAGUAUGAGGGCUAAAUAGUAAAAUGUCAAAAAGUAUAGUGCGUUAAUCGUUUCCGAUAAUUAUAUGCUAAUGCUGGGCCGCAUUUUUUUUUUUAUUUUAAAGAAAAGCAAGACUCAAAACGGUUUAGUAAAAACAUGUCAACGGUUCGUUGGUCCGGCCAAACGAUCUAGUUGGUUUUUACUAUCUAGACCGAUUUUUUGAUCCAUCUUUAGUUUGAGACUUGACUUAGUUCAGAAAGCUACUCGAUCAACAGUUGAAUCAGCUCACUCGAACAGUCAAAACUGAGUUUUAUACUAUUAGUUUUUAUUUAAAUAUUUUCAAUACCCAUUUAUAAGAUUAUGGCACUUGUAAGUUCUCCAUGAACCGAAAAUAAAAAGAUAUUUGUGUUAUAGUUGAAAUGAUGAGUGAAGAAAUUUACUGAUGCUGUCAAUAAUGUAUCGACGGGAUACUUGAGCAACGAAUAAUACUUUUCUUUGGGUAAACAAUCAACUAUUAUUGAUAAAGCACAUAUUACACAUAUCUGUAAAAGGAUGGGUAGUAUUUGGCACGUCUUCAAUUCGCCACACAGGUAGCUGAACUCAUCUAUAAAAGGGGUCGAUCUGUGGGCAACCAAAUACACACCAAACCAAAAAAUACACACGAAAGCAAGCCUGCAAAAACAACCGAGAGGAGAAAAAAUGGCUCCCUGUUUUAGAGCACUAGUCAUAGCAAUAACAUCGCUGUUGAUGAUAUCUUCAGUGAUCAGGUCUUCCGAUGCUGCUGGAAUUGCCACCUACUGGGGCCAAAACACUGACGAAGGAAGCCUGGAAGACGCAUGCCGGAGAGGUACCUAUGACUACGUGAAUCUUGCCUUUCUGAUAAAUUAUGGCAAUGGCCAGACACCAGAAUUGAACUUAGCUGGGCAUUGUGAGCGAAGCGCUUGCUCCUCGCUUAGUUCUGAGAUAAAAGCUUGCCAGAAACGAGGCAUCCAAGUGCUUCUUUCUCUCGGUGGAGCUCCAAACCUUUCUUCACGCGAUGAUGCUAAGGAAGUCGCGUCCUAUCUCUAUAAUAAUUUCCUUGGCGGUGAAUCACAAAAUCGUCCAUUAGGCGAUGCUGUCUUAGACGGUAUAGACUUUCAUAUCCAAGGUGGAAGUAGGGAUUUCUUGGAUGAUCUCGCCAAGGCGCUCUCAGAAUAUAGAACAACAGAGAGAAGGGUGCACUUAUCUGCAGCACCACAAUGUUUCUAUCCUGACUAUUAUCUUGACGCUGCCAUCAGAACUGGCCUCUUUGAUUAUGUGUGGGUGCAAUUUUACAACAAUCCGCCUUGUCAGUAUAGUAUGGGCAAUGCCAACAACCUCAUCAACAGUUGGAGCUCUCAUUGGGCUUCACAUCCAGGAGUUAACAAACUAUUCCUGGGAUUACCUGCAUCCCCUGAAGCCGCUCCUUCUGGCGGUUACAUUCCACAUCGGAUUCUUAUUCGUGAAGUUCUUCCCCAAAUCCAGGACUAUCCCAACUAUGGAGGCGUCAUGCUUUGGAACGUAUACUAUGACGAGAAUUAUAGUCAGGCAAUCAGGCCUUAUGUUAACCCUGAAACUCUGACUUUUGAUCGCAGGUCCACGAUUAAGUACCCAAGAAAGUCCAUGAUAAAGUCUUUUGUGGAUGAGUAAGUUCCUCUCAUUAUCUUAUGAGAGAUGAAAUAAGUAUAAUAUAAUCCCGGUGGUUUGAGCCAGAGAUAAUGUUAAUAAAUAAGUUCCUCUCAUUAUCCUGUGAGAGAUGAAAUGUAAUCCGGGUUGCUUUUGCAAGAGAUAAAUUGAAUAAAUAAAUAAAACAUGGGUUUUCAAUCCCCAAACUAAGGGCAGUCGCGUUUGAUUUUUUUUAAUUCGUGUUUGUUCUUGAGUAAAAACUAUCACGAACAGUAUCAUUAGUUUUAAUUUCCCCUUACUCUUCAGAAAAAAAAGGGUAUUGAAAAAAAAAAAACAUGCAAAAGGUACUAGAUCAAAAUCUCUCACUCGCUAGACAAAGAAUUUCAAGAUAACAGCCCUUGAUCCAAUCCGCAUUCCAAUGCAAGUUCCUGGUUUUACUUAGUAUGAGGAACCUUGGGCCAUGCGAGAUCAAAUAAAAAAAUAAUAUCAUCAGAUAUUUAUUCUCCAAAAUCAAUAUAUUUAUUCAAGAGCAUUUUACAUUUCAGUACACCUUUACUGUUGAGAAUAUUACUGUUCUGUUAGCUUCUAUGCAAAGUUUGUUUCAUAUGCAAUAACGUACUUAGUAACUAAACUUCCAUCACUUGCAGAUAUUAAUCCAGGAAAAAGAUGAAUAAUUGUUUUCUUUUAUAUGGAUUAAUCUUCUAUACAUUGACAGUGUAUACACUUUCAUCAUUAGAUGCAUGACACAUAAUCCGAAUUUGAAUUUGAAACUCAAAUAUUGUAUAUAUGUCGUAUAUUCAACUGUGAUGGCGUAUAUACCGUCAAUGUAUAUAAGAUUUAUUUUUUAUAUAUAUAUACACAUAUAAGGAAAGCAAUGACGUUCAAAACUUAAGAUCGAUGUACAAUUCAGUUUUGCUUAAAUUCUUAGCUCGAGGCCUGUUCAAAUCUUGUAAAAAGGUACUGGUAAUAAAUGAAAAUCUAAAGUUUGCUCUAAGGUAGGUAAUAUUAUAGCAAUUGGUCCUCUUCUUAAUUUAGUUCUUCCAGUAAAUUUGAUAUAUCGUUUACGAUCAUCCAGCAUUAUGGAUAUUGCUUUCUCUUUGUGAAAAUUUUUAGUUUUGAGCAAAGUCUUUGGUUUUUAGUCAAGUUCUUGCGUUGGACAGCUCUACAUCUUGGAACUGGUGAUUCGUACAAAUAUACAGUAUCUUGGAAAUAUUAGACUUUUUUUUUUAAAAAAAAAAACCUUAUUUUAUUAAUGAAGCAAAAAGGAAUACAUGAAUGCGUGUUCAGGCUGCACCACUCGACCUACAGCUAGGCCUAGAGCUGUUAAACGAACCGAGUUGUUCGGUAGCUCGGUUCGUUUCGACUCGUUCGAAACCUUAAAUGAACCGAGUUCGAACGAAUGUUUUUGUUCGAUUAAUAAUCGAGCGAACACGAGCAUGUUCGCGAGUUUUAACGAACGUUCGCGAACAUGCUAAACGAACGUUCGCGAACACGAGCAUGUUCGCGAGUUUUAACGAACGUUCGCGAACAUGGACAUAAUUAUCAUUUGAUAAAUUUUAGGGUUAAUUUUAUGGCUGGACUUUUAUGUUUGGAGGGCAAAUUACUUUGUUUUAUUUGUUAUUUUUAUGUUAAUGUUAGUUAUAUAGUUAAUGAAUAAUAGAAUUUAGUCACUUAGUGCUUUAAUUGUUUUUGAGAAUAGUUAAUAAUUUGCAUGACAUAUUUAAGGCUUAAAAUAAUUUGGAUUCGAGCAUUUCGAGUAUGUUCGCGAACGGCUCAUUUAUGUUAAAUGAGUCGAACACGAACUCGAAUUCGAACACGAAUUUUGCUUAACGAGCCGAACACGAACACAUGUUUGAAGUUCGAAAAUUAACGAACGAACACGAACGUUGUUCGAACUGCUUAACGAACAGAGCUCAAACAUGAGAUACUCGGUUCGAUUCGGUUCGUUUACAGCUCUAGCUAGGCCCCAAGGACCUCUUAGAAAAUCGAAAACUCCCAAUCCCCAGUCUAUCGACCUGACAUAGGCCCCUCACCGACCUUGGCAAGGACGUGAAGGAGAGCAAGAGACAAAAGUUGCUGGAGCGGCUACCCAGCGAUGCCAACGAAUCCGCCACAGCAUUACCUUCUCGAUGGAUAUGUUGAAAGGACGAUAUAGCUGGCGAGAGUUGCCGAAGAUGACGGAGGAUUGGCAAUAGCGAAACCGGAACGCCCCAUACCCCUGUAGAACGUCGAUCAGGAUCUUUGAGUCGCCCUCCACCACGACUGGGCCAUGGCGGAAUAGGUUACACAAUUCAAGCCCCGUGCACAGUGUGAGGCCCCGAAAAAAAUGAGUUUGAGAACCCGGAAAUUUUAAUUUUCUAGGGUUUAUUUUGUUUAAAACAAAACCCGCAUUUUCUACAUUUUCUUGAUUAGAAAAAAUCCCAGAUAAAGUUUAUGAGCAAAAAUAGUUUUAAAAUGAUUUUUCUAGUAUCGGUUAGUUUUUGAGAAAUUAAAAGCGUAUUUUGGACGUGGGACCCACUAGUGCGAAAAGUUCGGAAAAUUCGGCCAAUUAGGUUAAAUUCCGGAUACUGUGUAAAAUUUAUCGGGUGUUAAGAGAUAAGUAGAGUGUGUGAAAUGAUUGAUGAGAGAGAGAAAAGAAAGGAUAGGAAUGCAUUUAUUGUAGUGCCACAUGUCACCAUGAUAUUGGUUAGGACUUAAGACUACUAUUCAUGGUUUUGACCUUUUGACUUAUGGAUUAAAUAUCUUCAAAAUUCACAAAAAAAUUACCAUUUUUCACCCCUUGAUGGCCGGCCCUCUCUAGCAAGAAGAAAGACAAAACUCUUCAACAUCUUGGCAAAUUCCUAGCUCAAAUCAUCCAAACUACUUACCUAAAUUAGUUUUUACUCCAUAAAAUCCUUCCACUUGGUAUUAGUGAGUGUUUUGGUGAAGCUUUUGGAGAACUUAAGGUGUCCAACAUCUUCCUCUCUCUUGUUUACUUGGUAAGUAGUGAUUGACUAUCCUCUUACACCUAAUGAUGUUGAAUUUAUGCCUAAUGGUGGCUAUUGUGUUAGAAAUUGUGGUUUAUUUCUUGGUUUGAAGUGAUUUGGUUAAGUUUUUAUUUUUUUGAGGAAUUUUCUGGUUUUAUGUGAUCUUGAUGGUGUGGUUGUUUUUGAUGGUUGGUAAUAAGGGGCUAUGGAUCUAGUAGGUGCAUAUGAUAGGAAAUUGCAACUAAUUUUGGGUUUGGAUUGAAUUGUGGAAAGUUAGGGUUUUAUCACCCCUAAUUCUGUCCGGUUUUAGAUCAUAGGGUUAGAGGCCGAAUUGGACUUUGCUCAAAACAUGAAACUUGUAGGUAUUGAUGAGUUUGAAGUGCCUGCAAAAUUUCAGGGCAUUUGGAGUAGUGUAGAGUGAGUUAUGCCGUUUUUACUGUUGCUGUUCUGGGUGAUCAGAAUGUGCGAACUGUGAUUGUAAUCGUCUGUUUUGACUGGAAUUGCUUUGGAUUUGGAUGUUGGUGUCUUCUGAUGAAAUGUAGCUUGAUGCCUUAGCUAUCAUAUGCCUUUGGAAUCAAUGCAUUUGGACCUGUGUAACUGAGUUGGACGAAUUACAGCAUUGUGUGAUUUGGGAACCUGCAAUUACGAUUCUGGUUUGGUAUUCUGCAUUUUUGACCUAGUUGUGCUAGGAUUUGGACUGAGUGACCUUCUACAUUGUUGUAGCCCUGGUUCUUAGCUUCGAAACGGUGGGUCUUGGACCUCCAUCCGAUACUCGUAAUACCUUUGGUGCCAUUACCGCAAAAGGACGUCAAAACUGUUUUCUGGUUUUGAGCAAUUGUGGUUAAUUGCUUUGUGAUUGGGUUUGAUUGUAGGAUGGAAAGGAUGAAUUUAUGGGGAAAUGCUGUCCGAUUUUUAAUAGCGUUGGUUACCUUAAGUUUCAUGUGAAAGGCUUGGACUUGAAUGAUGGAAUUGGCUAUAUUGGACGAGGAUUGUGAGCCGUGGAGGUGAGUGACCUUAAACUACUUGCAACGUUACUUUAAAAUGUUUCUUGCAUCGUUUCUUUGAUUGCAUAUCCUGUGUGCCGGCAUAUAAGUUCUUGACAUGUUUUGGCUCAAAUGAGUACUUGGAAUUCGUGUGCUAGACUCCGACGUCUCCUCCACCGUUUAAUGUUCCUGUAGGGCACCAAUGGGCUCAAUGUUCAAUGUUAAUGUUCAAUGUUAAAUGAUUGUUUGGAGCGUUGGACGUCUAAGUACCAUGAUUUCACUGGCUCAUGAGAGAAGUGAAAGUGCAUUGAUUGUUGAAGCAUGACAUUAUUGAAAUGAACGAUUGUGAAACUGAUUUGAUAACUGAAUUUCUUGGUUACUCGCUGAGCUUCUAGCUCACCCCAAAAUGUUUUAUUCCCCUCCACAGGGCUCAAGGCGAAGGAGUGGCUUGUAGUGUUUAUCAUGGAUUAUCUCAUGUAUGGACUGAAUUUGGAUUUCCUUUUGUGUAAUCGUUCAUAUUGGGAUUGUAUUGAACGUUUAGAAUUGCUUGGAUGUGUAAUAUGCUAGUUUUGGACUUCCUCCUGUAUCAUAAUUGGGAUCAUGGAUCAGAGUGGCGCAGUGGAAGCGUGGACGCUUCGCUUUUGAUAUGUAAAGUUUGGGAACCUUUGAUGUAUAUUUGAUAUAUAUAUCUUGAAAUUCCAUUGAGAAUUGUAGUGAACGACUGAGUCCUGGCGAGAGCUGGGCAGGCGGCCCGCCGAACCCUCUGGUUCGCCUUAGGGGGAGGUGGGGCCGUUACAGUUGGUAUCACAGCUUAGGCUUCAGAUCUCUAUAGUGUAUCCUAGGCUUGAAGUUUAGGAUGCCGGACUGUGGGUUUGGUUUGAAGUAUUAGUGAUUCUUGCGGGAUGUCUUGACUUGAUUAGUACAAGAGGGAAUGACGAGGACGACAUUCUUUUAAGGAGGGGAGAUUGUGACGCCCCGAAAAAAAAUGAGUUUGAGAACCCGGAAAUUUUCUAAUUUUCUAGGGUUUAUUUUGUUUAAAACAAAACCCGCCUUUUCUACAUUUUCUUGAUUAGAAAAAAUCCCAGAUAAAGUUUAUGAGCAAAAAUAGUUUUAAAAUAAUUUUUCUAGUAUCGGUUAGUUUUUGAGAAAUUAAAAGCGUAUUUUGGACGUGGGACCCACUAGUGCGAAAAGUUCAGAAAAUUCGGCCAAUUAGGUUAAAUUCCGGAUACUAUGUAAAAUUUAUCGGGUGUUAAGAGAUAAGUAGAGUGUGUGAAAUGAUUGAUGAGAGAGAGAAAAGAAAGGAUAGGAAUGCAUUUAUUGUAGUGCCACAUGUCACCAUGAUAUUGGUUAGGACUUAAGACUACUAUUCAUGGUUUUGACCUUUUGACUUAUGGAUUAAAUGUCUUCAAAAUUCACAAAAAAUUACCAUUUUUCACCCCUUGAUGGCCGGCCCUCUCUAGCAAGAAGAAAGACAAAACUCUUCAACAUCUUGGCAAAUUCCUAGCUCAAAUCAUCCAAACUACUUACCUAAAUUAGUUUUUACUCCAUAAAAUCCUUCCACUUGGUGUUAGUGAGUGUUUUGGUGAAGCUUUUGGAGAACUUAAGGUGUCCAACAUCUUCCUCUCUCUUGUUUACUUGGUAAGUAGUGAUUGACUAUCCUCUUACACCUAAUGAUGUUGAAUUUAUGCCUAAUGGUGGCUAUUGUGUUAGAAAUUGUGGUUUAUUUCUUGGUUUGAAGUGAUUUGGUUAAGUUUUUAUUUUUUUGAGGAAUUUUCUGGUUUUAUGUGAUCUUGAUGGUGUGGUUGUUUUUGAUGGUUGGUAAUAAGGGGCUAUGGAUCUAGUAGGUGCAUAUGAUAGGAAAUUGCAACUAAUUUUGGGUUUGGAUUGAAUUGUGGAAAGUUAGGGUUUUAUCACCCCUAAUUCUGUCCGGUUUUAGAUCAUAGGGUUAGAGGCCGAAUUGGACUUUGUUCAAAACAUGAAACUUGUAGGUAUUGAUGAGUUUGAAGUGCCUGCAAAAUUUCAGGGCAUUUGGAGUAGUGUAGAGUGAGUUAUGCCGUUUUUACUGUUGCUGUUCUGGGUGAUCAGAAUGUGCGAACUGUGAUUGUAAUCGUCUGUUUUGACUGGAAUUGCUUUGGAUUUGGAUGUUGGUGUCUUCUGAUGAAAUGUAGCUUGAUGCCUUAGCUAUCAUAUGCCUUUGGAAUCAAUGCAUUUGGACCUGUGUAGACUGAGUUGGACGAAUUACAGCAUUGUGUGAUUUGGGAACCUGCAAUUACGAUUCUGGUUUGGUAUUCUGCAUUUUUGACCUAGUUGUGCUAGGAUUUGGACUGAGUGACCUUCUACAUUGUUGUAGCCCUGGUUCUUAGCUUCGAAACGGUGGGUCUUGGACCUCCAUCCGAUACUCGUAAUACCUUUGGUGCCAUUACCGCAAAAGGACGUCAAAACUGUUUUCUGGUUUUGAGCAAUUGUGGUUAAUUGCUUUGUGAUUGGGUUUGAUUGUAGGAUGGAAAGGAUGAAUUUAUGGGGAAAUGCUGUCCGAUUUUUAAUAGCGUUGGUUACCUUAAGUUUCAUGUGAAAGGCUUGGACUUGAAUGAUGGAAUUGGCUAUAUUGGACGAGGAUUGUGAGCCGUGGAGGUGAGUGACCUUAAACUACUUGCAACGUUACUUUAAAAUGUUUCUUGCAUCGUUUCUUUGAUUGCAUAUCCUGUGUGCCGGCAUAUAAGUUCUUGACAUGUUUUGGCUCAAAUGAGUACUUGGAAUUCGUGUGCUAGACUCCGACGUCUCCUCCACCGUUUAAUGUUCCUGUAGGGCACCAAUGGGCUCAAUGUUCAAUGUUAAUGUUCAAUGUUAAAUGAUUGUUUGGAGCGUUGGACGUCUAAGUACCAUGAUUUCACUGGCUCAUGAGAGAAGUGAAAGUGCAUUGAUUGUUGAAGCAUGACAUUAUUGAAAUGAACGAUUGUGAAACUGAUUUGAUAACUGAAUUUCUUGGUUACUCGCUGAGCUUCUAGCUCACCCCAAAAUGUUUUAUUCCCCUCCACAGGGCUCAAGGCGAAGGAGUGGCUUGUAGUGUUUAUCAUGGAUUAUCUCAUGUAUGGACUGAAUUUGGAUUUCCUUUUGUGUAAUCGUUCAUAUUGGGAUUGUAUUGAACGUUUAGAAUUGCUUGGAUGUGUAAUAGGCUAGUUUUGGACUUCCUCCUGUAUCAUAAUUGGGAUCAUGGAUCAGAGUGGCGCAGUGGAAGCGUGGACGCUUCGCUUUUGAUAUGUAAAGUUUGGGAACCUUUGAUGUAUAUUUGAUAUAUAUAUCUUGAAAUUCCAUUGAGGAUUGUAGUGAACGACUGAGUCCUGGCGAGAGCUGGGCAGGCGGCCCGCCGAACCCUCUGGUUCGCCUUAGGGGGAGGUGGGGCCGUUACACACAGUGCCCUAGCCUCAGCUUGCAAUGACGUCACAUUUCUAUACAGCUCCGAAUAUGCAAAAAUCACCCGACCCUUAGAAUCCCUCGGUACUCCCCCUCCUCCGCCUGUGAAUGGGUGAUGACAGACCCAUCAAAAUUGAGCUUCACCACCGCUGCCGUUGGGUGGACCCACCGCACAUACCGCACAUACCGCACCUGGACAGGGAGACGGACUUCACCAAGGCGUCGGAUCACCGCCUGCCAGCUACACCCCCGCACCUGACAUCGAAGGAAUGGAAACUGAGAUCCAAGUAAGUCCCUAAAGUCACCCAAUAUUCUAUUCGAGAUGAUCUCCGCUGAAAGGACCUGUCCAUCGUAAACAAACCCACAUCGCGCCUUCCACAAAUGCCAUAAAAUAAUUGCUGGCCCAACGUGCAAUACCCAUCGCAAGAUCCAAUGAUGCGACUGUGCAAACCACCAGGACAUACACCGAUCACGGAUCGAUCUGCCGAGAGAAGAGACUCCAAAUGGCGAUCCAAAGAAACCCCAGAUUGCCGUGGGAAUGUCCCCCAUGGAAAAAAUAUGUUGCAUGGUCUCAAGUUGCGGCUCGCUACAACAGAAUUAUAUCUUGGAAAUAUUAGACAUAAAGAGCAGGAUCUUUAGCAUGAUUUGUAAACUAUAAUUAAGAGAUAAAUUCUAAAUUGGCAUACCUUGUGACAUUGAAGACAUUUUGGAGAAGAAUUCUACAGCUCUGUAUCACCAAGCCUUUCAAUCUCCAAGGUUGUAAUGAUACGAACUCGACCCAACAAGAACCUGUCUUGAAGAACCAAAUUGAUCAGGCAGCGGAAGGAUCUAUCUUGAUUAGGUUAUGGAACAAUAACUACCUUGCUAGAUUUAAAGAGAACUCGUCUCUAGAAACCUAGUGGAUUAGUUAUUGACUUGAAAAAAACAAGAUGAUGUGAUCAUCUUGUCUUGAACACCACAAGUAUCCAAGCUAAUACUUGAUACAGUUCAAGAAGAAACUCAAGUUCCAUCAAGGAACUCCAUAAAAGGAGACAACUCUCUUUUUAUUAAUUCAUCUUCAACAUCAUAUUUUUUGAAUAGUUAAAUUAAGUUGGCUAUUUAUAACCUUACAAGACUCAAAACCCUAAUCUAAAUUGAAAACAAUACAAGUUUCCUUAUUUGACUUGACUUCUAAACUUGACACAACUUCCUAAAUAAAUUUGGAAGCAAUUUAACUACUUUCCUAAAACUCUAAUUCAACUAGAAUAGGAAACUAGCUAACUCAAAUUGGCUUAACUAUGGUCAACAUGACCUUAGCCUUUAUUCCCUAAUUCAAACAACUUACUUAACUCUCAAAUUAACUCUAAUUAACAACUAACAUUGCUGAAAACUCAAUUAAAUAAAUGAUAACAAGAAAUAAGCAUGACACGGGGUUGGAUCUUCAAUGAUUCUCGAGCCCGAUUGCACCAUCAACCAUCAAAUGAAUUUUCCUUGAAUUUGAAGGGAAUCCGAAUCUUCAUGUUCUCAUCAUGUAAACUAUCGCUUUAUGCUAUCCAGCCUUCCCUCACCUAACUCCCUUUUUUGUUAUUUUAGUGAUGGGUAAAAAUAACGUAUGUCAGAGUGGUGAGAAGGACCAAGAGCCCUAGAACAUUUAUAGAGUCACAAUCCCUCCCAUCAUGGGAUAAUGAUAAACUCUAAUUUUCUUAUCGUACUUUAUUUGUUAACCAUAAUGAUAAGAUACAGUUUAAAAUUACUGUAAUUAUCAGAUAAAGUACCACAAUAAAUAUCAUAUAAUAUGUUCACAUACAAUGAAUAUGGGACUCCCUACUUCCUCCAAUCAUCUAUUCUCAUUAGAGCUCUGUAAUUGGUUAUUCAUAUUUAUUCAUAUGGUUAUUCAUCCUUCUAAUUAACGGGAGUUAUCUUAAUAAUAUUAUACGUGGUCAUGUAGGCCACAUAAAUAUUCUAAUAGGAAAAUCUUCUUAAUUUGUAUAGUAUCUUGCACAAUCCAACUUGGAAAGUCGUACUACUAAUUUGGGAAGCAAAAGAAACGGAGGAUCGCGCCUAAUCUUUGGCCAUUUUGUUCAAUAUUUCUCCCAUUUUACAUUAACCCCUAGUUUGGUAUGUGAAAAUGUCCAGAAUAAAAAAAAUCUUUCCACUUGGAAUACCUUUUCACCAUGAUGGUAGGGAGAAAAAUUUAUCAUUUUACUGUCUAGUAUAUAAGGCAAAAUAGAAUGUUCAUUCAUUUUUAAGUGUUUGAAAUAAUCAAUAUUAAAAUACCAAAAUACAUUACAGUCGAUACAAAUUUGAUUUAAUUACCCUAAAUUAGUUUACGGGACACAACAUGCUUUAUUACUUUUGUCUUGUUGGUUCUAUUGUGUUAUUUGUUUGUUUACAUGGAAUUUUGACAUUUUUUGUAUUCGAAAUAAUUGAUAAUUGAUAUUAAAAUAGUUCAAUUGUAAUAAUUGAUUCAUUCUAGAAUAUAGACCUUUACAUUCAACUGUUGCAUCUUCUGGCCAUAUAAUUAAUAUAAAUUAUAUGAAUCUAAACAAAUAUAAUAUAAUUUCGAUUCUUAUUAAAAUUUGACACUCCUAAGAAGUUGUAUGAAUUAUCAAAAAAUUGAACAAAGUACUUAUAUUGCUUGUACGCAAAAUAUUUAAGAUUGACGAACAAAACGAUGGCCUGCUGCCUACAUUCUUUCACUUUCUCACUCUCUAUCUCUUCCUCUAGAGAGAGAAAGAGAAAAAAAUGGUGGUACAGAACGGACUCUCUCAAUUUUUUCUUUUGCCUCCCUGAUUUUCUUUUUCCAAGGUUUCUUGCCCUUACUUUCUUCUACCCAACUAAUUGCCCAAUUCUUGUUGGGGCUGAACCUAUCUAUCUAUGUGUGAUUCAAGAAAGAAAUAAAACUAAAACUGCUGCUGCGCGCCUUAAUUGGUCCUCCGUCGUCUUUGCCACUGAACGGAUUCCUUCAUUUUUUUUUUAGGUGUGGCUAGAUAUUGAAAGGGUUGAAGAAAAUUUAAGAUUGAAUUUGAGUCUUUGCACUUGCAAUUAAUUUGUAGGUGUUCUUGGUUUCUUACAGUUGAUGACGGAUUAUUACUGACGAGUUCCAUGGGAACUAUCUUCAGUUACAAAUAGAAAUAAACUGGAAAUUAUUUCAUAGAAUGGUACCUAAGAUAAUGAUUGUGAAAUCAGUAUUCAUCGCAAGCAGAUUGUCAUAAUUAAAGAUGUAAAGAUAUAUAAGACUGUAGCCAGUUUGUGAUCGCUAUAAAAAUAGAAAAUAAUAUAAUAUAUCAUUUGUCCAAACAUAAUAAUUCCAACUUCACACAAGUUAAACGAAUUCAUUUAGGAUUAAGUCGUUAAUGCCUUUGAGAAAAAAAGAAUAACUUAGUUUAGUUAGAUAAAAUAUUUUUAUAUUUAUUAAAUUAUUUUUAAUUCAUAAACGGUGAUCAAGUCAACCCGUUGGUGACUUGAAUUCGACCUUUUUUUUUUCAGGUUCAUCGGGUUCGACCCAAUUCUAACUCAAACCCAUUAAUUUCAACCCAAACCCAUUAAUUUCAUGUUAGAUUCAUAUUAUAUUUUCAGGUCGUAUCGAAAAUUGCCUCCUCUAGAUUUAACUUACCAAAAAAGAAAAAGUAAAUUUCAGCUGCAAAGCUUUGAGUAAUUUUGAAGUGGGAAAAUCAUUUGAAAAGCUCUUCACAUUUCACUAAAUGAAUUUUUUUUUUGUCUUUCACUUUUAAAAUAAUAAAUUUACGUUUCUUAAAAAAUCAAAUCUGUAAAAUUAAGUUCAACCUAGGUUUUCGACUACUUUUUACACUGAAUUUAUCAUGUAACCCAAAUAUGAUCAUUUUUUCGGAACAGAAAGGUUAAAUCUCAUUUGUAGUCGAACAAAUGGCUUGAUCCAAAAGAGUAAGAUCUGACCUAAAUCAUAUUUAUUUUUUCCUGAAAAGUGGGAUCUGAUUUAAUUCAUAUUCAUUUUUAUCCUAAAAAAAUGAAAUUUGACUUUUUUAUACAUAAAAAAUGAUUGCAUGUGAACCACAUGGUGAUUUCAAGCUAAUGUUUUUGGUAAAAAACUUAGAUUCGAACAAAAUUUUGUUAACUUGAAUUUGUAAGGGACAUAAAGCUAAUAUUUUAAAAAUGAAGAACCAAAAAAUUUAUUUAACAAAAUAUAGGAGACGUUUUGAAAGAUUUUCACUUUUGAAGUUCAGUCUUUUGAAUACUGCCUAUCCUUUGAUUUCCUAUUGUACUGCUUUUCAGUGAUUUAUUGAGAGCUCCUAUUUGGAAAUGGUCAAACCUAACAACGGAUCUCAGCGUUAUUUGAAACCAUGAAAACUGCAAAGACAAGUUGGUCAUUAAAAAAUCUACUACAGCCAACGACAUUAGCCUUAUUUGAAUUGCAAGUUUUCACAAACAAAUUUUGAAAUAUUUUUUAGUCACAUAUUUAUCUUAUAGAUGUUAUAUUAAUUAUUAUAAUAUAUUUUUCUAUGAAACUCUAUGAAAUUAUAUACGUUCUAUUAUCUUAUAUACGUCAUGUCACUAUAUAGUAUAUUUUUCUAAGAAACUCUGUAAACUUACAAUUCAAACUGUAACUUUUCAUUUUAGUGCGUCCUUUCUAAGUGAUUUUAGUGCGUCCACUUCAAUUCAUGCAUGAUAGUCCAGAAUUCUGUAGAAGGACAAUAAUUUAGGAAGGACUGGAAAAUUCAAUGGAAACAAGACAUGUCGCAUUCGGAAGUGCGAUAAUGUAAUCAACCUCACUAUUAAAAGAAGAACAAGAUUGUAUAAAUCCAUACAUCAAAUCCGUAUUCAAUAGCUUUAGUCGAAAUUCGUGCUCCCCAAGAAAGUACAAGUGAACUUCUUAUUCAUCAAAUGUGCAUAAACAAUAUGAUGUGGCCUAGAGAAAAGUUCAAGCUAAGAUGCUCAAGUAUAAGAUAAAAUUGAGUGAAGGGAGAAGGUUGAUUUAGACCUAUUCAUCAUCAAUUUUGAUUUACAUAUUCCAAUCUGUUGCCACAAAAAAAAAUCAAGCACAGGGAAAAUUAUUUUAAUAUAUAUAAAAAUAUGUGAAAAGAGGAAGAGAAUAAAUACACAAUAUAACUUAAAUAAUUUUAUAAACUAAACUCAACAUUAAUACUCACAAAUAACAAUUUGAGAAGCUUUCUCUCAAUGUCCUUCAAGAAAACAAUGAGAUGGUACUACUCAAUUUAUAGAGUAUCCAACGGACUAUAGUUACAAAGGAAUACGACAAUGGGCAAAUAUAUAUAUAUAUAUAUAUAUAUAUAUAUAUAUAUAUAUAUUGCAAUUCUGAACAGGCGAGGAGUAUCCCUCUCCCAAAAUGAUAAAUGUAACUUGCUAAACUUGAAUGACCAGACAUUAGGAAAUAUUUCUUUGCCGCAUCAACUUCUAAAUUCUUCAACUCACUAGACUAACCAAAAAAAAAAAAGAGUUGCCACAUAACUAAUUUAAUUUAAUAAUUAGUCUUGGUUUAAUUACCUGCUGGACUUGGAUUUUAUCUCGGGAUAAAACUCAAAUCCAACAAAAUAACGGUUGGUGGGAUAAAACUCAAAUCUAACAUUGUCUACACAACCAUUAAUCAUCUUUCUUGGGCAAUUACAUAAUCAAUCCAAUCUUGCUAAUUGUCAGCCUUGAAGGACAACGCUUGGAAAUUAAUUAACAGCUUAUCAUAUGCACUACAAAAUACAGAAGUUUAAUCCAUAGGUUUAUUUGUAGACCAUGUAAUCAAUUGGUGAGCCACACUCACCAAUUGAUUCAGUGAUGUAUGUUUAUAUUACUAGCAUUAGAUUAUAAAGAAAAUUGAUGUGGCUAUAGAGUUCAAAAAUAUCUUUCAAACCCGUUUAGAUUAGGUUAGGAUACGCCAAGAACGAGAUAUGGGAGGAUAACAGUUGCAUGUUUUUAAUUGUCGGCUGUCUAUUCUGUAUCGACGUGGAGACUUGGAGCCGCGAGCUUAGAAAUUAGUGACUUUCAUAACUUAGGACAGGUUAGGUAAGUACAAUAAUUGCCCCAUCCAUUAUUACGCACUCAAAGGGACCCAUUUCACAUUAUCCUGCUCGGGAUGUUUGCAUUUAAUUUGCUGGGCAUUUAUCUGAAAGGAAUAUUCUUUUAGAUGCGUUACAUGCCAAACGAUAGCAAUAAUUAGAACUGUACAAUUUGUAUGAAGAGUUGGAGUCAGUCCCAUUCGCUCUUGAGCUGCUGUGUUUCACAUUUCUAUGUUGCACUACUAUUUUAUGACUCGUCGAGAGAGACAUUCUAUUGUGUCCGGAAAAAAAAAAGAAUUGGAUUUUUAUUCAUUAUUGCAUCGGAUAUGUCAUUGGUGGAGUCAGAACCUUGUGAUAAGGGUGCAAUGACCAAUUUCAGUGUAAAUCAUACUUUUAGGCUUAGUUUGGGAGUUUAGGAUAGAAAAGAAAGGAAGGGAAAACUCAAGUUAUGAGAGAAGAGAAGAGAAGAAGGGAUUGUUAUAUUGUUUGGGAGCGUUGAAAAUUAGUGGAAUGAUUUUGGAUAUGAAAAUCAUUAAAUAUCUGUUUAAUACCUUUUUAAGGACAAAUAGGUAUUUUAAAAAAAUUGAUAAGCUUCUGAUGCGACUGCCGAGAGCGCGUUCCGAGCUGAGCUGCGCUAGGCUGAACGAACUAAGGAUGACUGAACUGGUACUAGCGGGGUGAGCGAGCUGACCUGCAAGAAAGACCGGGGCUGGUUCCUCGGUGUAGCUCUGACGGUCAAGUCAGUACGAGUUUAAGAGUAGGGUAACAACGUAGAUAUUGUUGAUGGCGUACCUUGCUUUGUCUUGUGGUGGUGUAUUUAUAAGAUCCCGAGUAGUAGUUUCCCUAUAGGAUUAGAAGUCCGACUAGAAAGGGAGUCUUUCUAGGGUUUCGUCUGCUAAUUUCGAAAGGUUCGGGGGCUGCGACCCACCAGGCCCAUCCAAUUGGGAGGCGGCGCCCAUGCGCGAACUGUCCUCCCUCCUGCCCGAGCUGUUUGGCCGAACUGCCAGGUCACAAUGUCCGAACUGACACGUGGCUCCUGCGGAUUGGCCCCACUACACUAGCCCCCCUUUGAGUCUAUAGUCAUCGAAAGAUCGCAUGAAUCAGGACCGAAUUUCGAGGUGACGGGUCAGUUCGGUGUGGGACCCAUAAUCCCACGAUUGCUGCCUUUGCUCGAGUAACCGUCACUUCAAGCGUUACGUCCCUUCAUAAUGACGGUUACCAGCCCAAUCGUCGCGCAAUACAGCGGUCUUUCGAUAAAUAAAUUUUAAUUUUAAUUUGGGACGCUUGACAGGUGCUGAACCUGUGCAAUAAUAAUAAUAAAUAAACCUAACUACCACCAACGCAGUCAAUAACCAAUUCUAGGUACUGGAACAGAGACUCUAGGUGUGCAAUGGGUUACUUGAUUCACCCUGUUCCCAAAGAGUUUGCUUAAUCCGAUAUACCAGAAUUAAUUAGUUGACAAAAUUUACUAACUAGUAGACAGUGGCAAGCAGGGUCGUCUCCUCAGGGAUUGGAGAUAUUUGUCUCUUUGAAGUUCCAAUUAGUAAAAAUGGGGGUUUUAUCGGAAUAAAACUAAAAAUAUUUAAGCAAUUCAACUAAAAAUAAAUAAUUAACUAGCACGAAUGUAGACAGGAAUUAAAUCAAGAAUAGAUAAAUUCUAACCAAGAAUACAACUACUCAGACACAGUCCAUUCAUCCAAUCAUUGAUGCAAGAGAUGUUCACUUAAUUUAUUAAUAGAUUAGUUAUAGUCGCCGACGAGCUCUGACGACCAAUUUUUCCUUAAUUUAUUGAUAACCAAGGUACGACAAUUGAUUACUUCUAACCAGAAAAUACUCCUAGGUAGGACCAUAGGAAUUAAUUUCUCAAUUGCAUUAAGAAUUAGAAAAACCUAACUCCAAUCAAUAACACGCUACGAGGGUUAUUCAAAUCAGAUUGCACGUCCCCCUAGUGUGUAAAAACGCUAGUUGCCACUGAUAUUAAUCGAUUAAAUAAUUACGGAUUUAAUUGACUAAUUUGGCAGGAGAUUAAUAAGUCGCAUUGAACAUUGGGCCCUUGACAUUUAAUUAACUAAAUAAUCCCAUAGAAAUUCAAACAGACAACGUGCAAAUAUUAACAAAUUAAGAAACACAUGAAAAUUAAUUCGAUCUCACAGAUAUUCGGGACUGCGUCGUCGCGUUGAUUCUUGACUAGAUGAAAAGCUUAAUCACACCGCAUAAGUAAAUCUCCACGCAAAUUAAUUGAUUCACAAGCCAUCACAUUUGUCACUAGAUAAUCAAGAAGUAAACGAUGUUUCUCCAGUCGGGACUUUUGUCGAACAAGAGUCACGCAUGAAAAGGAAAAGAAAGAAAACUAAACUGUCUCUAAACAAUGACUAAUGCUCCCUCCGUCGUUCUUGCCGCAUUGAGAGAAAAGGUACAAAAAGAAAGCUCUGCCGAAUUCCUGGUAUUUCGUUUCCUCUUGGUAGGAGGACUCCUAGUCAGCAACUCUUCAUCAACAAAAGGAAAAGGGAGUCGUUGCUUAGUACCCUGUGGGCCAGAUUCGUGAAGCUUUUUGAAGUCUCCCACGUGUGGAGCAAUUUUCUCCAACAGGUCCCCCUUUUUAGCACUUUUCAGUUCCACUUCCUGUAGAUGGUCCAAAUACCAAAUAUAAGUAUAUAUUAACAAUUUAAAACAAUAUUUGGUAAGGACAAAAGGGAAAAUUAACAAUAAAAUUACUAACAAUUAACACCCUAUCAAUUCCCCCCAUACCUAAAUCAUGUUUGCCUUCAAGUAUGAGAACAACUAAACCCAACAAUGGUCAACUCUCACGUCAUCUAUUUUCAAGCUGUGUUUAUACCAAAAUCAAGGUUCAGUGGCCAAGUGUCAAGACACAAUCCUCUCGGUUAGCUCCUGAAAUCACAGACUCGUCUAAUUCAUGGCUAACUCAUCUAGAAAAUCAAAAUAUUAAACUAGCAAUAGUCAGGAAUUGGUCCAACUGGCGACCAAAAUCUCAACAUUGAAGAACAAGGAUCGGCAGGCCAACAUGAUCAUAAGCUUACAUAUUUUUCACAUCUGUUCUUUUUCUUUCUUCCUUUUUUUUCUUUUUCUUUUUUUUUCUUUGUUUUUCUUCUUUUUUGAACGAAUAAAUGCUUAGUCCCAAGCCAUUCAAGUCUUUUGACAUGAAUUCUAACAUUUUUAGAUGAAAGAGUUCAGUUACUCAACUUUUCACCGCUUCAAGACCACCUACUCAUAGAUAUCGCCACUGUUUUGACGCGAGAGUCGACACUUGUGGUGACGACUCCCGGUUACUGGGUGACGACACUAGCGAAGUAUAGCCAUAUGUUAUUCACAACAAAACACCAAAAUAUCAGACAAUUAAAGAACAUGGCCCACGUCAUCUCCUAAACAUGGAGAACUAAGGUCAACAGGGGACCAAUCCAUACAACAGUUGCCAGCAAAAUAUUUAUAUUGCCUAAACAAGUUAACCACAAUUCGCACAAAGUUAUUAAACUCACAGUAUUCACCAAGACAAUAUGCUCUUACUUGCCACCGAAGCUAAAUUUAUAGAAUAAAACACAUCUAGCAAUAGAAGAGUGAGUUGCCAAUCAAUUGUUGAUCACCAAGAUAAGCAGUACCAAAAACAAAAAAUAAAGAGACACCAGUUGAACCCCCCCACAACCGAAUGGUACAUUGCCCUCAAUGUAACAAAUAAACAGCAAAAACAAGAAGAAAGGCAACGAAACUUCCCUGAAGUCGGGGUCACAGCGGUGGGUGAGGCGGAAAUGGUGCUUGAUGAAGCGGCAGCGAGUGCAAGAGGCGGUGGCGGCGCUUGGCAGUCGUGCGCGAGGAGGUGGCAAAGGGAAAAAGCAGCGGCGAUAAAGGAGGGUUUCGGCCGAAAUAGAAAAGGGAGAAGGAGAAGCAGGGCAAAAGAGGAAGAAAAGGGAAAGAAAGAAAGAAAAGAAAAAAAGAAAGAAAAAAAGAAAAAUAGUUUUUUGGGGUUUUCUCUCUUUUUUUUUUAAGUCAAAAUUUAAAAUUUGGUAUUUGAAAAUCGAAAUUCUGAGUUGAACGGGAAAUAUUUUUAAUUUUCAAUUUUUUAAUUUUUAAUUUUAAUUUUUUAAUUUUAAUUUUUUUUUAGGAUCUUGGGUCGUCAAAUAUGACGUGGGCACGCCAAAAUUAUAAAACGUCCAUUGACCUUGGGAGUCACUUUUUGCAACUUAACGCGUGCCCUCCUCGCGUAGGCACGCCAAGAUUCCAUUUCCUGCUGACGUCGCGAGAUGUUGAGAUUUUACCAACAUGGCGUGGGCACGCCAAGAUUGAUAAACGUCCACUGACCUUGGGAGUCACUUUUUGCGUGCCCUCCUCGCGUGGGCACGCCAAGAUUCCCUGUCCUGGUCACAGUGGGAAAAAAUAUGAAAAUUGACUAGUAGCCAAAUGAGAAACGACAAAUCGAAAGAAUUAAACAACAAAACAAAAAAAAAUAACAAAACAAAUAUUUGGAUUGCCUCCCAAAAAGCGCCUUUCUUUAACGCCUUUGGCUAGACGUUAAACAUCACUUCAAUUUGGAUGUAAUUCAAUUUUCGUUGUAAUUUGUGGCCUUCCUCCGGGAUCCAAAUAGCCAUUGAGUGUAACUUUUUUCCUUAAUUUUUUACUCAUUUUCACCUCAUGAAUUGCUUUCAUCCCAUGAUACUUGUUCGCAGCAACUUUAAAUUUACCCCUACAAGUAAAUUCAGAAAAUUCUUGCACAGAGGGAUUAGUAGCAUGCAUAGCGAACACAGAGUGAGAGUUUAUAGGAUGUUUCAUUGUAUCAAAAAUAUUAAAAUGGACUAUUUCUCCAUCAAAUUUCAUUGUAAGAGUACCCUUACUAACAUCAAUCUUAGUUUCGGCAGUACUCAAGAAUGACCUUCCUAAUAUAAUGGGUGAUGGAUUUGGGGCACUUUCAUCAUCCAUGUAAAGCAUAUAAAAAUCAGCAAGAAAAAUUAAUCCAUCUACUUGCACUAAAACAUCCUCAACUACCCCAUCCGGGUAAGCAAAUGUACGAUCAGCCAAUUGAAUUAUUAUCCCUAUUUCUUUCAAAGGUCCUAAAUUUAGAGAAUCAUAGAUUGAUUUAGGCAUUACAUUAAUAGAAGCUCCUAAAUCUAGCAUGGCAUUUUUUAUAUUAGAAUGUCCAAUCUUACAGGGGAUAGUAAACAUACCUGGAUCCCCAUAUUUAGGUGGUAGUUUCCUUUGUAGAAACGCUGAAACGUUCUCACCUACCACAAUAUGCUCAUCCCCCCUCAUCUUCUUCUUGUUGAUACACAAGUUUUUCAAGCAUUUAGCAUAUUUUGGCACUUGCUUGAUCGCGUUCAACAAAGGGAUAUUGAUUGCCACCUUUUGAAACACUUCUAGAAUCUCAUUUUCCUUAUCUUGCUUCUUCGAUUUCUCCAACCUGCUAGGAAAAAGCGGUGGGUUAGUUUUAACUAUAAUGAAUGGGUCCAGGAGUACCUUUGGAUCCUUGUUGCUUCUGCCCUGCUCUUCAAACUCUUUCUCAAUUCGUUCCUCAUCCUUGUCCUUAGGAAUCACGAGCUCGGGUCCUUGGAUUUGCUUUCCACUCCUCAAGGUCAUUGCGCUCACAUUCUUCAAGUUCAGUUCAGGUUGAGACGGCAAUUUUCCAUAAGUUUGAGAUUCCAGGUAGUUGAUUGCUAUUGCCAUCUGACUCAUCUGACUCAUCUGACUCUACAUUACUUGCACCUGUCCCAGUUGAUUCCUCAUAUUUUAUAGGUCAGAAUCCGUCUUUUACUGAUUAGCAAUUAAUUGCUUCAUCAUCUCUUCCAUAGACGGGCUUGAGUUUGAAGGGGGUGGUGGCAGGCGAGAUUGAUACUGUUGUUAGUACCCUUGUUAUCUAUUUGGUGCAAAAUUCGACUGCCUAUUUCCUCCAUAACUAAAGUUAGGAUGAUCUCUCCAACCCGAAUUGUACGUAUUGGAGUAUGGGUCGUAUGGCUGUCUUGGCGCGGGCGCGUGACCAGCCAUGUUCACUUGUUCCUCACUUUCUUCCUGAACCAAUGGACACAUCUCUGUAGAGUGACCCAAGGUAGCGCAUAUCCCACAUACCUUGGCUUGUGAGGCACUUUCCACAGCUAGUUAUCGCACGAAAGACGUCAAUUCAGAGAUUUGUUGUUGGAUGGAGGAUGUUUCUACCUCAUUCAUCGUACGCGUCGGGGUGUCCUCUCUUGAACUGAACUGCUGUGAAUUCUCAGCCAUCCCUUCAAUCAACUCCUAUGCUUCUCGAGGAGUCUUGUUCACCAAUGCUCCUCCACUCGCAGCAUCGAUUAUACUUCUGUUCCUGAAGAGUAAUCCCUCAGAGAAAUAUUGGAUGAGCAGUUGCUCACUUAUCUGAUGCUGAGGGCAUUUGAUGCACAACUUUUUAAACCUCUCCCAGUACUCAUAGAGGGACUCGUCUGGGUGUUGUUUGAUACCGCAUAUCUCCUUCCUCAGACUUGCAGCUCGAGACGCAGGAAAAUAUUUGUCCAAGAAUUUUUUCUUCAAUUGGUCCCACGUGGUAAUAUUACCUGGUGGUAGGUAGUACAACCAGUCUUUUGCAGAGUCCUUCAAGGAGAAGGGGAAGACCCUCAUUUUUAUCUGCUCUUCUGUGAUUCCCGGGGGUUUCAUACUGUUACAAACGACGUCGAAUUCUUGCAAGUGCUUAUAGGGCUCCUCUCCUGGUAGACCAUGGAAAGAUGGCAAGAGGUGAAUUAGAUCAGAUUUUAGUUCAAAGGGAGUGUUAUCAUUCAAACUUGGGAAAGUAAUGCAUAAAGGUUGCUGAUUUAAAUUAGGAGCAGCGAACUCCCUUAAUGUUCGUGCAUUAGUCAUAGUGACUUUCUCUUGAUCCGAGUCACUCGAAGUGUCACCAAACGAAUCUGUUGGUUCAACUUCUAGCUCAGGUCUCUGAAAUGUAUCACUGAAGUGCUCUUCUCUGAGUUGUCUGGUCUCUUUCCUUGUUCUACGCACAGUCUUCUCUACCUCGGGGUCGAAAAUUAAUUCACCUGUACAAGAAGAACGAGGCAUACACUUGAAAAGAAUUAAAAAUUAGAAAAAAAUGAACUUAAAAAGAAGCAAAUAACUGACGCCAAUCCCCAGUAACGGCACCAAAAAUUGACAGGUGCCAAACCUGUUCAAUAAUAAAAUAAAUAAACUAACUACCAUUAACGCAGUCAAUAAUCAAUUCUAGAUACUGGAGCAGGGACUCUAGGUGUGCAAUGGAUUACUUGAUUCCUGUUCCCGAAGAGUUUGCUUAAUCCGAUAUACCAGAAUUAAUUAGUUGACAAAAUUUAUUAACUAAUAGACAGUGGCAAGCAGGGUCGUCUCCUCAGGGACUGAGGAUAUUUGUCUCUUUGAAGUUCCAAUUGGUAAAAAGGGGGGUUUUAUCGGAAUAAAACUAAAAAUAUUUAAGCAAUUCAACUAAAAACAAAUAAUUAACUAGCACGAAUGUAGAAAGGAAUUAAAUCAAGAAUAGAUAAAUUCUAACCAAGAAUACAACUAUUCAGACACAGUCCAUUCAUCCAAUCAUUGAUGCAAGGGAUGUUCACUUAAUUUAUUAAUAGGUUAGUUAUAGUCGCCAACGAGAGUUCUGACGACCAAUUUUUCCUUAAUUUAUUGAUAAUCAAGGUACGACCAUUGAUUACUGCUAACCAGAAAAUACUCCUAGGUACGACCAUAGAAAUUAAUUCUCCAAUUGCAUUAAGAACUAGAAAAACCUAAUCCCAAUCAAUAACACGCUACGAGGGUUAUUCAAAUCAGAUUGCGCGUCCCCUUAGUGUGUAAAAAUGCUAGUUGCCACUGAUAUUAAUCGAUUAAAUAAUUACGGAUUUAAUUGACUAAUUUGGCAGGCGAUUAAUAAGUCGCAUUGAACAUCGGGCCCUUGACAUUCAAUUAACUAAAUAAUCCCAUAGAAAUUCAAACAGACAACGUGCAAAUAUUAACAAAUUAAGGAACACAUGAAAAUUAAUUCGAUCUCACAGAUAUUCGAGACUGCGUCGUCGCGUUGAUCCUUAACUAGAUGAAAAGCUUAAUCACGCCGCAUAAGUAAAUCUCCACGCAAAUUAAUUGAUUCACAAGGCAUCACGUUUGUCACUAGAUAAUCAAGAAGUAAACGAUGUUUCUCCAAUCGGGACUUUUGUCGAAAAAGAGUCACGCAUGAAAAGGAAAGAAAGAAAACUAAACUGUCUCUAAACAAUGACUAAUGCUCCCUCCGUCGUUCCUGCCGCAUUGAGAGAAAAGGUACAAAAAGAAAGCUCUGCCGAAUUCCUGGUAUUUCGUUUCCUCUUGGUAGGAGGACUCCUAGUCAGCAACUCUUCAUCAACAAAAGGAAAAGGGAGUCCGUUGCUUAGUACCCUGUGAGCCAGAUUCGUGAAGCUUUUUGAAGUCUCCCACGUGUGGAGCAAUUUUCUCCAACAGGUCCCCCUUUUUAGCAUUUUUCAAUUCCACUUCCUGUAGAUGGUCAAAAUAUCAAAUAUAAGUAUAUAUUAACAAUUUAAAACAAUAUUUGGUAAGGACAAAAGGAAAAAUUAAUAAUAAAAUUACUAACAAUUAACACCCUAUCAACGCUUCGUCUUCCCGCUCUGGUGGCCUAUAAAUAGGCUCCACUAGAUGUCACUUUCACGCUUUCUUCCUCAUUUUCUCAGCUCCCCAUCUUUUACUCAGCUCGCUCAUCUCCUCCUCCUACGAGAGUUAGUUCGGGCGUCCUGUCAAGAGUUCAGUCGUGCACUGCUGUCCGUGCGUCUCCCCUAAGCACCACUGAGCGCUCGAGCUCUUUUCCCCUACUCUUACUAGUAAGUUCCUUUUCUCCCUCCUUUUAUAUCUUCUUCCUCUGAGCAUUCUGACAUAACUAGUUCGGCCCCUAGGCGUAGAGUAGCCCGACCUGUACCCAUAAAGGUCAUCUCUUCCUCUCCUUCUCCUUCCAGUUCUUCACCUUCCAGCUCGUUAGAGUCAGAAUAUAUUCCUUCCCCUGCUCUUUCUCCUGUUCGAGCAAUGGCUCAACCCGAACAGCCUAUUCAGCCGAACAACCUAUUCAGCUUGCAGCUAGAACUGCUGCCAAGCAGUUCCACUUGAGGCAACUCCUCUACGAGCUAGGGCAGGGCCCUCCAGGGGGCCCGAUAUUGACUUCGGUGAAGUGGAUCUUAUCCCUCCCAUCCUGGAUCAGGGGGAUGUGGACGAAUAACCCAGCUCAUCCCUCCCAAAGGGGACUAGUGUUGUGGGGCCAAUCCGCAGGAUCGGGAUCGGGACGAUAAGGUUGUCAUGUAAUUGAUGCGACUGCCGAGAGCGCGUUCCGAGCUGAGCUGCGCUGGGCUGAAUGAACUGAGGAUGACCGAACUGGUACUAGCGGGGUGAGCGAGCUGACCUGCAAGAAAGACCAACGGCGGGACUGGUUCCCUGGUGUAGCUCCGACGGUCAAGUCAGUAAGAGUUUAAGAGUAGGGUAACAGCGUAGAUACUGUUGAUGGCGUACCUUGUUUUGUCUUGUGGUAGUGUAUUUAUAAGAUCCCGGGUAGUAGUUUCCCUAUAGGAUUAGGAGUCCGGCUAGAAAGGGAGUCUUUCUAGGGUUUUGUCUGCUAACUCCGAAAGGGUCGUGGGCUGCGGUCCACCAGGCCCAUCCAGUUGGGAGGCGGUGGCCAUGCGCGAACUGUCCUCCCUCCUGCCCGAGUUGUCUAGCCAAAUUGCCAGGUCACAAUGUUCGAACUGACACAUGGCUCCUGCGGAUUGGCCCCACUACAGCUUUCUUAAACUUUUUUCUCAUUUCUUUCCAAUUUGGAAGGAAAAAUUUUGGCUACUAUUCAUGCUCUUAAAUUCUUCCACUUCCUUUCUUUUCUUUCCUACUAAAAACUAACAAAUGAAGGAAAAUUUAACUUUUUCUUCUUUCCAUUUCUUUUCUGUCCAAAUCCUCCACUCCCAAACGAGCCCUUAGAUUUAUAUAAUAAAUAUACAGUGUGCUUUUGAUUUAAAAAGUGAAAUCCUUUUUUUUCUAUUAGUGUUUAAUUUGAAAUAAAUCUUAAAUUUUUGUUAGAGAUAAUCAAUAUAAAGUAUUUUUUUGGAGUAAAUGUAGAAUAAGUGAGGAAUAUAUAAAACUUCAAAAGAUAACCUAUAUAAAGAAGGGAAUUUUCUUAAAUUUGACUUACAAAUGAAAGAGAGAAUUUUAUAAAAUUCAGGGGUGCAAACAUGGUAUAAACUUAAAAAUUUUGAAAAAUUUGAAGGCCGUUGUACAAUUUUAUCAAAAUUGAGGGGGCCGGGGAGGGAGGGCAAUUGUCUACUCCUCAAUCCUAUGUGGCUGGAAUACUUAUCAAUGGAAUAGAUAGUAUAAUAAGAUUUUAACAGCAAAAAUUGUAGAAAAAGGGAUUCUUUGCCGAACUAUUCGACCCAUAAUCUGAAGCAUGUAGUGUUUUGGAGCAAGGGGGUAAGGUGGGAUCAACUCCAUGGCUCAGAGAGGCAAAGUGCCAUUCAUCGCCUAAUAGAUAAAUCCUUCUCUCAGUUAAAAGCCACACUGGUUUGCAACUAUCAAUUUGAAAAAAGAAAGCUAAUUUAAGAGGCAAUAUUUUAAGUUGUUUAAGGAAUAAAAAUGUUGAAAAAGCAUGAACUCAACUUUGGCCUACAAUAGGUUUUUUUUCUGUCUCAACAAUUCUUUUCUUAAUAUUCUUUUUAACUUUAGUGCUGUCAAUUUACUUCAUGGCCCAAAGGCAAAAAAACAAAGACUAGUGAUUGACACAAGAACAAUCUUUAAUGCAAAUUUCAAACUCAUUAAGAAAUGAGAGUGUGAAAUAAACAUUCAACGCGAAGCAUCUAAGCUGGAUCGCAGGCUGGAUGACAUUGAAAUUGUGGUGAAGAUAAGUUUUCAAAGUCUCUUUCAUUUCAGCUUACCUGUUCAUUGAUAGUUUCAUGCUUUAUGAUAAAAUUUUUUUCUUGAGCACUUUAUGAAAAGAAUAUUUAACUCAGUUUGCUCACUAACUAAUGAUUACACAAGCACUCAACUUCCGCACAUUUGCACGGGCUUAAUCUUGUAUUCUUUCUUUUUUUUUUAAUAAAAAUAUUAUUAUUUUAUUAAAUCUAUACUAGUGACAAAAAUUAUAUAAAUAAUAUACGGAUACAAACAGAUCUAAAUAGCAAGUGCUAAAUGUUACAGAUCUGAAAAAUUAAUAGAAUAUUAUACAGUGGAACUCACAAAAAUCAAAUGAUAAAACAUUUAUUGCUAAGAUUAUCUAUGCAUGCUUCCAAUUGUACGGUUUACUUCUUCCAGAUGGUAGGGUGAAAUCUGAGGGAUACAUUUAAAAAUUUUCAAAUCUGGCAAUCAACUUCGAAAAAACAAAAAAGAUCUAACACAAGAAAUAGAAAAACUACAAAAAGUCUCACCAGGAAUCCCACAAAAUCACGAUCGCCAUCUUUACAGCAGCCAUCGUCAACCAUUUGAUCUUCAAUUUUACCGUCUUUGGAACAAAAUUUUUCAUUAGAUUUCAUCAUAUAGCCCAAUCUUGCAGUUCAUCGUCACUGUGCCAGCACUGAAGUAAGCCCUCUUUUCCAAAUUUUCUUUUUUUGUAACUUGAAAUUUGUGUGAAUUAAUAUGCGCAACCUAUGGAUGUUUGGAUCUUUCAUAUUAUUAGUCUCCUCGAAUUUGUUCCUUUGUUCAUUCGUAUGCAAUUUUUUAAUCACAUAUUCUGUUUACCUGAGGAAGUCUGAAUUGUGAUGAAUUUUGUAUUGAUUCAAUAUCAAAUUUGAUUAAAGGGAAAAAGAAACUGCCCUACGAUCAUAGCAUGUAAGCAUGAUGGAAAAAUGCCUAAACUAAAUACAUUGUUGUUCACUGUUUUUUUUUCUUUGGUGUAAUUGGAUAUUGAAACGGUUGAAGAAAGGGAAAGGAAAAUUUAGGAUUGAAUUGGGGUGUUGGCACUUGCAAUUGAUCUGCAGGUGUUUUUUGUUUUCUUACAGUUGAUCAUGACGGAUUAUUAUGGACGAGUUCCAUGGGAAUUAUCAUCAGUUACAAAAAGAAAAUAAACGGGAAGUGCUUCAUAGAAUGGUAUCCUGAGAUAGUGAUUGUGAAAUCAGUAGCCAUCGCAAGUGGAUUGUCAAAAUUAAAGAUGUAAAGACAUAUAAGACUGCAGCUGGAUUGUGAUGGCUAAUCUUAUCCUAUGUAGUGAAACUUCUUGAUCUAUGAAACUCAUGUACAACAUGAGAUAUAUGUACACCAGUUAAUUUAUUUGGGUCUUUACAAGUAAAUUUUCACUUCAGAUUUAUUGUAGUGUUAUUUGAAACCAUGAAAACAGCAGAGAGAAGUUGAUCAUGAAAAAAACUACUAUAGCUGACAAGAUUGGCGUUAUUUGGAUUGUCGGUUUUCACUUAAAAAUUUUGAAGUAUUUUCUCAAUAUAUUUUUCAAUCACUUUUUUAACUCACAUACAUCACAUUAUUAUAAUAUAUAUAUAUAUAUAUAUAUAUAUAUAUUUAACGAAACUCUAUAAACUUACAAUUCAAACUGUAACUUUUCAUUGUAGUGCGUCCUUUAAAGUGACUUUCAUUUUAGUCCGUCCAUUUUAAGUGAUUUUAGUGCGUCCACUUCAAUUCAUGCACAGGAAGGACCGGUCCCAGAAUUCUGUAGCAGGACAAUGAUUUAGCGUGGCCUGGAAAAUUCUAUGGAAACAAGGCAAGAAUGUCACCUUUGGGGUGUCCAAUAAUGUUAGUGUCAAUCAACCUCACUAUUAAAAGAAGAAAAGAUUGUUGAUAAAUCCAUACAUCAAAUCCGUAUUCAAUAUCUUUACUCGAAAUUGUGCUCCCCCAAGGAAGUACAAGUAAACUUUUACCCAUCAAAUUUGCAUAAACAAUUUUGUGGCCUAGAGAAAAGUUCAACCUAGGAUGUUCAAGUAUAAGAUAAACAUGAAUGAAGGGAGAAGGUUGAUUGAGGCCCUAUUCAUCCUCAAAUUUGAUUACAUAUUCCAAUCUAUUGCCACAAAAAAAAAAAAUCAUGCUCAGCAAAAAUUAUUUUAAAAUAUAUGAAUAUAUGUGAAAGAGGAAGAGAAUAAAUACACAAUAUAACUUAAUAGUUUUAUUAACUAAACUCAACAAUAAUGCUCACAAAUAACAAGUUCUGAGUACUUCUAAUCUAAUUGGGUGUGUGUGUUUCUGUCUAUAAGAGAGAGGAGUAUCUCUCUCCCAACAUGAUAAAUGUUUAUAACUUGCUGAACUUUAAUAACCGGGACAUUAGGAAAUAUUUCUUUCCCGCAUCAACUUCGAAAUUCUUCUACUUACUAAACCAACAAAUAAAAAAACUUGCCACAUAAGUAAUUUAAUUUAAUAAUUAGGCUUGGUUUAAUUAUCUACACAACCAUUUGUCAGAUUUCUUGGGCAAUUACGUAGUCAACCCAACCUUGCUAACUGUCAGCGUAGAAGGACCUUAGAAAUUAAAUAACAGCUUAUCAUGCACUGCAUAAAAUACGUUUAUCUGUAGAGCUCGAGCUCGUAAUCAAUUUGUGAGUCACACUGAUCAAUUUGUGGGUCUUAGAGGUUUGAAGUUAAGAGGUAAUUCCGGCGAGAUUUGGAGUUGGGAAUUUUUUUUAUUUGUUUUCUUGCCUCCCAAGAUCUUAUUCUCCUUUAUUCCUUUGUUUGUUAUUACUUCUUUUUUUUUUUAAUGAGUUUUAAGAAGUUAUGGUGAUAGUGGUGGUUAAGAGGUUGAUGAUGAUAGUGGUGAUGGGAUGAUCAAGAGGUUGGUGUUGAUAGUGUGAUGUUCGGCUAAUGAAGACUGUGAGAUUUGGUAUGGAUUAUUACUUGAUUUCUAUUUCUUUUGAUGAAUUUUUAGAUAUUAAUUUGUGCUUUUUGAAGGGAUUUUGUCUGAGGAAUAUUUGUAGGGUUUAUGAAUUUGACUUUAUUCAGAAGAUGAAAAUAAAGGAAGGGUUAUUUUUGGAGGUUUGGUAAAUUUGAGGGUAAACAUGUAUAAUCUCUCUCUCUUUAUCAGAUUUAACUUAGUUUGUAAAUUGUGCAAAAAAUUAGAAGUUGAAGUAAUGGACUGCUAAAUUUAAAGUUUGGGAUGCAAGUUCCAAUUGCGAAAUUGUUGAGGGGUGCAAAUUACAAUUAACACUAUUUCUAUUUUAUUUUAUAUAUACAACUUGUUAAAGGACAACUAAGGAGGCAAUGGGGCGGGGUUGGGGUGGGGGACCCCAUCUCCGUCCGCUGCCCUACUGCCUACAAAUUCCCCCCCCCCGCGCCCAUCCCCAUCCCCCGCUUCUCCGGUGGCCUAAUAAAAAUUUAUUAUAUAAUUUUAUUAUAGUUAAAUUUUAGCAAAUAAUCAAGUACUAAAAUAUCAAUACAUCACCAAAUUAUUAUUCAUUGUAAUUUCACAAUUGAAACUUAUAAAAACAAUCAAACAAAAGUUAUUUGAAUACAAUCCAAUAGGAUGAAAUAAAUACAACUAAAGUAGUCAAGUUUCACUUUGGCACAAAUACAAUCACUAAUUCAUUAUUGUGCUUGUGCUUUUUUUGAGAAAAAAUGUUAUUGUAUUAAGUGUAAUUAGGGAUGUAGUAUAAAUGUAUUAGUAAAUUUAGUAUAACUGGUGGCUGUCAAACUACAAAAAUAAAAUUUAUAUUAGACCUACUACCAAAACUAAACAAGUAUAGUGGUAAGUAGGGUCGUCUCCUCAGGGAACCGGUAGAUUUAUCGCACACAGGUAAUUGGGGAAUUUUUGAAGAGAGAGAGAUAAGUGAAACAAAUUAAAGACAUAAGAUUACUAAAUAAACAAUCGCAAUAAAUGCAAUAACUCAAGAAUGAAAUAAACAAUUAAUUGACACAACCUAGUCAAGGAGAUAAUCUCGGCACCGGUUCACACAAUGAUUAUAGAUACCAGGAUAAUUCACACGUUCGCGAAUAAAUUGGUUCUAUCAAUUUAGCAACCGCCAAACUCCCAAUCUCUCCUUAAUUAUAUGGUAGUCCAAAGACGCUCUUAAACUACCCUAUUGUAAAUUAGAUAACCCCAGAGACACUCGAAGGAUUUAAUCUAAUCACAACUUUAGGAAUUAGAGAACCCAAUUCUAGUUAACAAACACACAUGCGGGUUCAUUUAAACUAGAUUAAUUAUUCCCACGACCCAGAUUAGAUUAGACUGCUUGCGAGGCAAUGAAAUUGUGCCAUUCGCCACUAAUUUAAAACAUUCAAGUGAUACGCACGCCUGUCCUAAUUGGCAAUAUAUUAUUUAGACAAUUGAACAACUGGCCAUAUUGAUCCAAUCAAUCCAAACAAUAACAGGCAAUUCAAACAAAGAAUAAUUAAAUACUCACAAACGCAGAAUUUAGAAUAAACAAAAUGAUCUCACAAUUAUUCAUGCUCCGGGCCUUGAUACUCCUCAACUAGAUAAAGAAAUUAGCCUUGCCGCAUAACGACGAAGCAAUUCAAAGUUUUCAUAGUAAUUUCGUUCAUGAAGAAAUCAAAAGUACGUCGGCUAGUUCUAACAAAGAUAAAAGCAAACGAGAAAAAGGUCCAAGUCAGAAGAUGAGAUCCCUAAUCUAUUGCAAUCUUCCUAUUUGUAGUGUCGCCGCCGCUUCCCCUUGCUUUUCGAAUUAGAAUUUGUUUCUCAAAAGGAUUUGCGUCCUUAUUUUCCUCCUUGAAUUGUUGCCAAAAGUCUUCUUUGAAAAGGCUUCCUAAUCCCACGCAGGUUCAAAAGGUGUCUCCAAAGAAUAGCGAAAGCUCCAGGGAUAACUGACGGUGGCUCCGUCUUUUUCACGCAGCUCUGCGUUAUCUGGCGUGGGCACCCAGAGAAUGCCUAGCCUUCUGGAAUUUGCCCUCCUCUUGUCACUUUUAACACACUCUCUCUGCAAAUAACACAAAUACCAAAUAUGGGCAGAAAUCCAGUGUCUUACACAUUAAGACCAAAUAACAGCGAAUAAAACACACAAUUAUCUCCCUAUCAAUAACCAAUUAAUAAUUUGUAUUAGUACAUAUAUAUAAUUAUUAGUAUAAUUGAUAAUAUCAAUUAUAUUACAUAUACUAAUAUACAUUAUAUAAUACAUAUAACUAAUAAUAUCAUUAUCAUAAGUUUGUAACUAAUUAAAUUAUAUAUUAUAUAUAUAAUUAUAUACAUAGAUAUAUUAUAUAUUUAUUUUUUUAAAGCGGGUGGCGGGGAGGAGAUAGGGCGGGGGUACACUCCCCUGUCUCCCACCCCAUUUCUAAGCCCCAGGGGUGGGGGGGGGGAAUUCCCCUCGGCCCCGUACCACCUCCCACCCCAUUAUCCCCCGCGGGACGGGUACCGGCGGCCACCCGCCCCAUUGCCAUCCUUAGGGACAACUGUCGUAUUAAGAGAAAUAUUUUAAAGGGAUAAUUUCAUAAACCUCCCCUGAGGUUUUUGAUAAUUUUAUGUGGCUCCCUUAAAGUUUCAAAAAUUACAUCUACCUCCCUUACCCAUUUAAAAUGACAAUACUAAUCUUAAUAUUUUAAUAAAACUCUCUUACUUCCAUGUUUAUAAAAAGGAUGGAUUUUACAAUUUUUUUUCUUUUUUCCUUCUUAUUCAUUUCUCUUAUAUUUCAUUAGAAGUAUAAAAGAACUAUCAAUGUUGUCGCUAAUAUCUAUCCAAAUCAAACUUUAAACUAGUAAUUUUUUUGAUGACUUUUAAUAUCAUCCAAUUUUUUGUAGCUCUUUUUUUUGUAUCAAAAUCAAGAAUAAAUCAACAAUAAUUAAAACACAAAUGGCCCAAAAUCACUACCAAACUAUGGUAGUUCUAUCACUAAACUAGUCCAUAAACUUUUAUUAAAAAAAUAGUCCAAAAAUUUCAAAAGCACAAGGUAACACUUUCUUGUCUAUCUUAAAAAGAAUCUAUAUUCCCAAUAAAGCACUAUAAAAAAUAGCUUAUCAUAGCAAAAGAUUUAUUGUUAUAGUUGAUUAUUAAAUAACAAAUAUUGACAUGAAAAACUUGGGACUCUUUUAUAUAUAUAUUAUAUAUAUAAUUGUGUCAAAUUACUUUACAAUUGUUUAAAAGAAUGAAUUGAACUUUAUAAUUAUCAUCAAACUUUGGCAAUCAACCUUUCCUUACUUUAUCGAUAAUCAGAGUAUGGUCACUAACUACUUCUCUGACUAAAAGAUAACCCAAGGUACAACCAUAGGAUUAAAUCUUUUAACAGCACCAAGAAUUAAAAAAACCUAAUUCUAAUCAACAAACAUGUUGCAAGAGUUCAUCUAAAUUAUAUCAUAUAUUUCCUGACAUAGACCCAAUUAUGCUAGUCAACACAAAUAUUAAAACAGACAAACAAUUACAAAUUUAAUUAUUUCAAUUGACAGUAGACUAUUGUGAAUAAUCAAAUAUUGGCCACUUAUUUAAUUACACACAAUAAUCAUCAUACACGUAAUACAGGAGAUAUACAAAUACCCACGAAUAGAUGAAACAGUAAACUUAAAUUAGAUAUCAUAAUUGUUUGUAGAACCAAGUUUUUGAUUAUCCUCUAAUUAGAAAGAAAAUUUAGCCACUUCUUAUGGAGAAAUGCAGCCAAGAAAAUUAGGUUUUUGUCUUGAGAGAAGAAAAAAGAUAAACCACCUAACUACGAUGACAAAGUGUAGAGAGAGUUGGGAAUUAGAUAUCGAUAUUCUCACCCUAACAAUCUAUAUGAUAAUCUCCUAAAAAUUAUUCCAAUAAAAGGAAUUAUCUUCCAUACUGGAAUAAUCUAUUUUCGUAGAUAAUGAUAUAAUAAUAUCCUUACUAACUAGUUGCAUCCAAAAAUAAAGUUUUCAAGGCUGCAGAGAAUCAAUCAAUUAUUCUCUUUAAUUGUUGAAAUUAAUCUCAGGUCCCACAACUUCUGAAUUUCCUAGGCUCUUUAAGGCGUGCCCAUACUUUUAUAGCAAAUAGACUUUUCAGCAACUCUUUUUAGUCCUCUUUCAUCCCAAAUUCUUAUGACAUCACUAAAACACAAAAUAUAAGUAGAAUCCACAAAAUAACACAAUAAUCUACUAAAAUGAAAGGAGAAUUGACACAAACUAUAUCUCAAUUAGGCACACUAUCAUUUAGUGACACAUGAUGAUGUAAGUAAUAUUACAUUAUUAUGAUGAUAUAUGUGCUCUUGAGUAUGCACCACAUCGUCCAUGAGUGGUUCCGAAAAUCAAGUUUUUAAGAAGGUUUUAAAACUGGAAAUCUUACCGGGUCAUAGGUUAUUAGUUCAAUCGUUAGGCUACAUGCUGUGUUUUCAGACUCGGACCGGAUCGGCCGGUCGGACCGGUUGGACCGGGAACCGGCCAGGCAUCCGGUCCGAGUUAGUUAAAAAACUCGGAUGUUAUAAAAUCGGUCAAACCCGGUCCGGUGAACCGGAAAUUUUGAUUAACCCCGGUUUUUUUUUCUUUUUCGGCCUUUUUUUAGUCAGAGUUUGACAAAUCGGACAAAAUUGAAAAUUGACAAGGUCACAAAACUUGCGUCGGCUACUCUGCUGCUUCUCUUCUCAUACAUUUUCUUCCUUUCUUGACUUUCUUCUUCAGAUCUCCACCGCAUCUCUUGAGAUUCAUCGAUCAUCCUUCAAUCUCUAGCCUCCACCGCCGCAACAGCCACCAGUUCCUUCAGAUUUCAAGACAAUCAAGUAAUUAGCAUGCGGGUGAACUGAAGCUUUGUUUGGUAAUUUUUACAAUCUGAAGGUUAUUAUUGCUGAUUCGUUAUGCUAAAGUUGAUAUGUGACUGGAAUUUUUUGAUUCAUUAUGCUGGACAUUUGGGAUUUGGAUAUUACGGGUGUGACUGAGAAGCUGGAGUGUUUAAUUAUAUUUGGGAUUUGGGAUUGGAAUAGUGGGGUCAGGGGAUCAGGGAAAACGGCUCUUACACGGAAGGUGUUUGAUAUUUUGCCUGUGAGGAGGAUGUUCUCACCGAGGAUUUGGGUUUCUUAUAUGAUACCCUUCAUGAUGAACCGGUGAGCGUAGACUUGAGAGUGAAGAUAUUGAGGAAAAUGCUAGAGGCAGUCUGGUUGUGAUGUCUCGGAAAUGAUGACUACCUAUGUUGACAUUCCCAAGCUCACUCAGAAGCUUUACCAACGGUUAAUGGGCAAGAAACUGAGUUCUCACUUCUGGUCUAUCUUCGCUUGGAUGUUCAAAGUUCCAUGCAGCCAUCAAUGUAAAUUUCUGUGAUAUUUGUCUCUAAGCAAUGAAAACUUAUUUUGUCUUUUGUCUUAAAAAAAAAAGAUUGAUAUUUAUCAAGCAUUUGAACAUGAACUUGCUACCUUAUUUGGAUUGCUAUUUUUUAAGGAUUAAACAUGUAUGGGAUUUCUAUUUUAUAAAUUUUGUGAGUUUGGAUGAAUUUGGUUAUAUUUUGUAAAUUUGAUUUGCAGGUAUAUAUAUAUAUAUAUAUAUAUAUAUAUAUAUAUAUAUAUAUAUAUGAGGUAUAUAUGAUGUCAUCCGGGUCGACCCCCUAUCGACCCCCGUCGAAUCCAUUGACCCCACGACCUGACCUCGACCGAGUCGAGUCCUGGUCCGAGUCUGAAAACAUAGGCUAAAUGUUACCAAGUCAUUGUUAAUCUGUGACAUCAUAUAUAUCAUAAAUAAUUAAUGUCAAAAAUCGUUCAAUACGUCCCUUAUAUUUUGCUAAAUGAUUUUUUUGGUCCUUCGCUUUUAAAAUGUUAAUUUUAUAUCUAUUACAAAUUCAAGUUAGCAAAAUUUGGUUCCAAUCUAAAUUUUUGACUACUUUUUAGCCUAAGAUCGCCAUGUGACCUAUAUGCAAUCAUUUUUUAUGUAAAAAAAAAAUGUCAAAUACCACUUUUUUAGUGAUAAAAAUAAAUAUGGAUUGGGUCAAAUUCCAUUUUUGUUUUAAAAAAAUGAAUAUGAUUUGGAUUAGAUCAUACUUUUUAAAGUAAAAAUGAAUAUGGAUCGAAUAAUUUAUUUAACUACAAAUGGGAUGUAACCACUGUUUAAUACUAACAACUGUUAAGUGGAUAGGAACACGAAUAGUAAGAAAUUUUGGAUUUUGUAAACAAUUUUGAGCAAAAUUAUAAUUUUUUAAAGGUGAAAUGAUAGAAACUUAAAUAUGAGGUAACAUUGAAAUCUAAAAGUAAGUAUGAGGGCUAAAUGGUAAAAUGUCAAAAAGUAUAGUGCGUUAAUCGUUUCCUAUAAUUAUAUAUGCUAAUGUGGGGCCACAUUUUUUUUUUUUAAAAAAGAAAAGCAAGACUCAAAACGGUUUAGUAAAAACACGUCGACGGUUCGUUGGUCCGACCAAACGAUCUAGUUGGUUUUUACUAUCUAGACCGAUUUUUUGAUCCGUCUUAGUUUGAGACUUGGUUUAGUUCAGAAAGCUACUCGAUCAAUAGUUCAAUCAGUUCGCUCAAACAGUCAAAACUGAGUUUUAUAAUAUUAGUUUUUAUUUAAAUAUUUUCAAUACCCAUUUAUAAGAUUAUGGCAUUUGUAAGUUCUCCAAGAACCAAAAAUAAAAAGAUAUUUGUGCUAUAGUUGAAAUGAUGAGUGAAGAAAUUUACUGAUGCUGUCAAUAAUGUAUCGACGGGAUACUUAAGCAACGAAUAAUACUUUUCUUUGGGUAAACUAUCAAGUAUUAUUGAUGAAGCACAUAUUACACGAACCUCCAGGGGGAUGGCCACUAUUUGGCCCGUCUUCAAUUCGCCACACAAGUAGCUGGACUCAUCUAUAAAAGGGUCAAUCUUUGGGCAACCAAAUGCACGCCAAACCCAAAAAUACACACGAAAGCAAGCCUGCAAAAACAACAGAGAGGAAAAAAUGGCUCCCUGUUUUAGAGCACUAGUCAUAGCAAUAACAUCGCUGUUGAUGAUAUCUUCAGUGAUCAGGUCUUCCGAUGCUGCUGGAAUUGCCACCUACUGGGCCAAAACACCGACGAAGGAAGCCUGGAAGACGCAUGCCGGAGAGGUACCUAUGACUACGUGAAUCUUGCCUUUCUGAUAAAUUAUGGCAAUGGCCAGACACCAGAAUUGAACUUAGCUGGGCAUUGUGAGCCAAGCGCUUGCUCCUCGCUUAGUUCUGAGAUAAAAGCUUGCCAGAAACGAGGCAUCCAAGUGCUUCUUUCUCUCGGUGGAGCUCCAAACCUUUCUUCACGCGAUGAUGCUAAGGAAGUCGCGUCCUAUCUCUAUAAUAAUUUCCUUGGCGGUGAAUCAGAAAAUCGUCCAUUAGGCGAUGCUGUCUUAGACGGUAUAGACUUUCAUAUCCAAGCUGGAAGGAGGGAUUUCUUGGAUGAUCUCGCCAAGGCGCUCUCAGAAUAUAGAACAACAGAGAGAAGGGUGCACUUAUCUGCAGCACCACAAUGUUCCUAUCCUGACUAUUAUCUUGACGCUGCUACCAGAACUGGCCUCUUUGAUUAUGUGUGGGUGCAAUUUUACAACAAUCCGCCUUGUCAGUAUAGUAUGGGCAAUGCCAACAACCUCAUCAACAGUUGGAGCUCUCAUUGGGCUUCACAUCCAGGAGUUAACAAACUAUUCCUGGGAUUACCUGCAUCCCCUGAAGCCGCUCCUUCUGGC